UUAAUGUUGAUUACGAUGGUCGCAAAUCGCCGCUACUGUUAAUUUAUUAUUGUUAUUUUUCGUCAAUUUGCUCAGACCCAAAAGUUCCCCCAACAACUUUUUUACACUCCUUCCAUCACUCAGUCCAAAAUUAGAACUCCUCCCUCGUUUCUCUCCCACUCCUCCCAAAUAAACCCUAGUAACUAGUAUUGCAAUUUCCUCUCUCCGUCUCCGUCUCCGUCUCCCUCUUAUCGAUAUGGCGCGGAUCGUUAGUCGUUGUAGCUUGUGACUCCCUCGUCUCGACUCUCGAUCGGAAGCCUCUGGUCUCUAAUGAAGCUUCAGAGGAGUUCAACAAUCUCUAUCUUCAAACAAAAUUCAGCAAGAUCGUUUUGAUUUUUCUCUCAUUUUCGUUAUUUUUUGUUUAUUUGUUAUUGUAGUAUAUAUAUAUAUAGUGCUCUAAGGAUUAGUUUGAUUUGUGGUUGAGAUUUGAUUGGCUGAAGCAAGAGCCAUCUGUCGAGCAGAGUUUUAUUUGUUGAGAUUUAGGGUAUGUUUCAUGGUUUUGGUAUUUAGCAUUAGCACUACUUCUUACUACUUUUUCAGAGUACUUUGUUAUUUGUUUUUGAUGUUUCUCUGUUGUGUCAUGUUUGUCCAGCCUGAAUUUUGCAUUUUGUGAAUUAGAGUUGCUGUUUGAUUAGUUGUGUCUUUCUUGUCUUGGUGGUAGUAGUGAUGAUUGGUAUGCAUAUGUUAUUGUGUGUAGGAAAAAUUUACUCUCACGUGGGUAGAUAUUGAUAAUAAACUAGAAAAAAGACUCAUAGAAGCAUAGACAUAUAUCUAUUACCAACUUGACUGAAGAAAAUUUAAUUUGAAGUACUUUUUUCUUGAUAAGUAAUGCAAAAAAAUGUAGAACUAGCCUAUGCUUUCUAAGUAAAUUCAUGACCACUCAAUAUCACUAUGCAAUUUUCUCUGUUAAUUUCUUUUCCGUUAGUUUUCUUUUGGCUUUAACUUGUACAAAAAUUUCUGAAGGCUUUAACUUGUACAAAAGUUUCUGAUAGAGUUGUUGCUCUAGUAUGGAUGCAAUUAGCUUUUCUUUUUCCUUGUAGCUUCAUUGAUAGCUCUGAUGAUGUAGCUCCAGCUUCAUUAAUCGUCCUAAAUUUUUAAAAGAUGAUUUUUUUCUUGGAAAAACAGAGCUUUUGCUUCCAGUUGAGCAGAGAGAUACAUGUUUUAAUUAUAUAGCAACUGAUUGCGGACUCAAAGAAGAUACACAAAGGCUAUGAACUGUCCACAUGCUAUAAUUCCAUGUCAGAGAUCAAUCACUGGAAAGUAAGCUUUUUUUAUCUUUUACCUUCAAGUUUUUCCUUUUUGACAUUAUUAUAUGAACUGCUCAUAUCCUCAUCCCUAAAAUUGUAAUUUUGCUUCAAGGAAAUACAUUUCCAAUCCCGAGACAGUUGUAGUGGAACAAAUAAAAUUUAGUUUACUUCUAGAAAAUAUACUACCGAAGCAAGAUAUACUAGGAUCAAGUAUAACUUUAAACUCUAUUAAGGUAGUAUUGUGUCAGCAUUCUUGCUUCUUCGUUGCUUUGCUGCUUUUAUUUGGUUUUUCUAUCUCUUUCUUUUUUCUUUUUGGUUGUUCAAUUAUGAUCAUAACCUGAUGUGAUUAUGAUGGAAAAAUCUCUUACAUUAGGUAGAUUUUGGAGACAAGGCAGCUUAAACUGGUAGAUACAAUCAAGCAUUUUCUUCUGUUUUUGUGUUUGCGGAAUGAAAGGUAUGAAUCAUUGACGCUAAUGUUUUUGCCGAUUUGGUAUGUUUUUUUUAUCAUAUACGCUGAACCAAAAGUAAAUAAUAUUUGGGUCGAAUUAGUUUUCACACUUUCUAUAUAUUUUUUCUAUUCAAUUUCAAUCUGCGUCAGUGUUUUUGCAUUCGAUUUAUGUACUUUUGGUCUUUUAAUUCUAUUUCUGCCUCCUCUUCGUCAUCUUUAAUUUUGUGGAAAGCUAGUUGUAAUAAGGGCUUGAGGUUAUUAGCAUAUGCCGAUAUGAGAAACUUAUCUGUUACCUUAUAUGAUAUAAAAUUUUUAUUUGACCUUCAAAAAUGUUGGAAAAAAUAAUCGCCAAAAGUGAAUUGUAAUAAUAGAAACAUGAUUUGGUAGUAUUUUUAUCUGACACUAGCACACAUUCAUUCUCUAGCUUUGAGGUUCAUUAGCCAAUGAUUUACACAAUCUUAAAUUAAUAUACUGUGUGUUCACUUUGUUUGCUUGCAUCAUGAAAGUUGAAAGGUGUGCUCUUUAUCUAGGUAGAGUCGAGUCAUAUAAUGUAUGUGUCGGUUUGAUAUUUCUCCUAGGUGUUGCUUCACUAUAGGUGGAUAGGUAGCGUAUAAAAAGAUUUACUAGGCCGUGCAUACCCAUGGAUCCAAUUUAACCAUCUUGGUUGAAUUUGGAUGAGCUUUUCACUACCUAGAUGUGCAUAUGUUGUAGUGAAGCCUUACAAGCUCAUCCCCAAAUAUAGAUUAUCAUAUUCAUGGGCACCAAUAAGUUUUACCAAUUAUUCGAGUCCUACACAUUUAAUUUUUUUUUGGUGAUGCUCGGUACCACAUUGACGAUGUACUUGUACAUCAUUACUUCAAUUCGAGUAACAAAAACAUAUGUAAGAAAGAUUGGACAGUAACACAUGUUGCUAUGUGGAAGCUGCUCGUUAUGGGGUUCUUAUUCAAUUUAUUUUUGGUGCAGCAAGCAUGUACUACAACUUCAAUUUAGUGUUAGACAUUCUUGAGAUAAUGCAGGUAUGUCUCAGUUAUGAAAUUUUCGUGCUCGAACUUUUUUCUUCCUAGCACUAGCUAAGAGAAAAUGAAGAACAUAGUUGAUAUACGAUAUGUGGAUGAAUAUCAUGUCAAAUCAUGCUUAUUCCUAUUUUUUUAGCCUAAUCUUAAUAAUAGAACAGUUUCAAGCAUACUUUCCCAAUUUUAUGUGGUUGGUGCACGAUUUGCUUUAGUUUAGUUUAGUUCAUACCACAAGAAUAUUGAUAUCAUGAAUCAUAAUAACGUCUAUGUGAUAACAAGUCUUUUUGACAUUUUAUUUGUGUCUAUUACAGUUGGUAAUUGAAAAAAUCCACUCAUGCUGAAUGAGUCAUUUCUUGCCUUCUUAUAUUCCAAUCGAAAAUUGCAAAGUGUGAGUGCACAUUAUAAUGCUUAUCAGUGUGCAAUGAAAAAGUUCAAUUUUUGGCACUUUAGGGAGGAGAAUUUCUUGUUUGUUUUGGUACUGACAAUUAAUCCUCUUUGCUUCUUCCAUGCUUCUAUAUUAUAUUAUUUUCAGGUAUGGUACUUGACUAAUACCAAGUGAGAUUCAUAUUGGUGAAAACUUAAUCUUAAAUAACACCCAAGAUACUGAUGUGAGAGAUGUAAGUGUUCGUUUUAUCAUGAUUUUGUUUCUUAGUUUUCAUUUAUUCGCACCUCUAUUUAUCUUCUAGACAAACGAAUCUACUCUUACCGAAGCAUUUACUUCAUGGCUCUAUAAUCCUUUGUAACCAAUAUAUUGGGUCCCGUGUUGUGCACGGGUUGCACCUAUCUAGUGUAAUUUAGAAUAAAAAGUUCUCUUAUGUUUGCGGCAGGACUAAUCUUGUUAUUACUUGUUGCUUAUUGGUUUGUUUAAUUUUGUAGGCUCAAAAUGUAAGAAGUAUGUCCCAUCACCUGAAAACCCAACAAGGAUCACCAAUUGGAAGUAACACACUAUAUUUAUGCGAGUGCUCGAUGAACUUUUUUUUAGGAUUUGUUAUAGCUAUUUCCCUUUUAUUGAGUGGAUGUAAAGUACUACGCAAAAUUUUAAUAGAUUUUAUGAUAUAAUUUUGAAGUGCUGAAGUUAUUUAUAUACAAUGAAUGAUUUACUUAUUGAACAUUUCUCUUAUCUGAUUCUUGAUUGUCGAAUUGUGAAACAUUGGAACAAGCUUUUUGAUAAAUUAGGUAAGGUGUCGAACUAGAAUGAAAAGAAAUGUAGAAGAAAAUAAGCAGCACUUUAAAAUUGUCAUAUAUAAAUAAUGGCUUAAUGUAUGAUUCUGGCGGCUAUUAACUGCCGCAAUUUGCAGCAAUGAACCGCCAUUUUAUCACUUUUACAAUUAUGGCGGUUUACUAUAAACUACCGCAGUAACUUUUUGGCGCAUUUAAUUGUGGCUUAGUCCGAUACCGCCGUUAAUGUGCAUAGUGGCGGUUCUAAACCGCCGCAAUACCCAAAAAUAGCCGACGCAAUAUACAGAUUUUUUUUAGUGCCAAACAAAAAAAUAUUAGUUUUUUUUGGUCGAUUUGAUUUGUUUUUCGGCUUUAUUCAAUUUUUCGGAUUUUCAUCUAACACCCCUAAUCUUUGGAUUAUAGUGUCGGAUUUUACAUGGAAUAACGACUAGCAAUAUUUUGGCGUAAAAUUUAUCUCUGAUAUUAAUACCCACAAUUAAACACAUAGUAAAUGUAAUCUUAAAUUUUAUACUGAGAGUAGAUUAUCAUCUCUGUAAUCAAACGACAACUUAGUGUUGAAGUAUCUACUUAGCAGUUCUUUUGGGGAGGAAAUACUUCCAAGUUACAAUUUUUCUUAUCAGACUUUAAAAAUCUCUAGAAAGUCGUAAUUAAUUUAUUCUUAACAUUUUGAAUACAUUUUACUCAUAAAAGAUGGUUAUAUAAGCAUUAAUCUGGACUUAUUAAAUUUGUAACUUUUAGGAAAAUAAAUUAGUAUGCUAAUUCCUGCAGUAAUAAUAUAUAGUUUUCUCCUAUGGCUCGUGGGGAGUUGGUCCGACUAUUGAUGGUUAACAGAAGAGACAUAUGUCAGAAGAGGAGAUUACUUAUAUCAAUAAUGGAUUAUAAAAUUGAAAAAUUGGAAAAAUUGAGUAGAAGAUGAGAUAAAUAAAUGAAUGGAUAUAUGGAAGCCGCGGCAAAAUUUAUUUUGUAUCUCAUAUAAUUUAUAUUAAUUGUAUUAAAUAAUUUUUAUCUUAUAAUUUUAUAAAUUCUAAAUUUUAUAGAUUUAGAAGUAUAAAAUUUAGGUAUUCAAAAGUAUAAUAUUGAGGUACAUAAUUUUAUGAGAUAAAAGAAGCCUCACACCACUAAUGAGACAUAAAACAAAACUUCUAAAAGCCGCGUCAGCAGGAAAGUCAGCAACACAUUCAAAACACUGCUAUGUUCUGAUUCAGAUUUGAGACGUUUCAACCGAAUUGAUGAUAUCCAUCCCCUUUUGACUAGCCAAUUGGCAUUCUUCCUUUUCUUACAGCAAGUUGUCCUAAAAGUCAUCUUUGGUACAUUUCAUUUGAUGAACAUUAAGUCAUAUACCUAUUUAAUAACGAUGUAAUUUAUUUCAACUGUUUGACAUGCUUUUCAUCUUAGUUAACAAUUUCAAAAUAUACCAUUGUUUAUCCUCAAAAACUAACAAUUAAAUUUAUAUACAGUUUUAAGGAUACAUAAUAUAACUUCAUACAAAUUAACAAAAUAGAUUAAUAUUGAAAUUAACAAUAAGAAAAUAAAUACAAACCACGCAAAUUGAAUAGCCUUGCCCUUAAAGUUCGAUCACCCUCGAGCCAAGAGAUGCCUCUUCUGAUGUAAGAACAGAAUAACAAGAUGAUAAGAGCUAGAAAUAAAAGUAAAUUGCUUUGUAUUGCGCAUUUCAAUGUGUGUUACAAAUGAUCACACCCCCUUUAUAUAGGAGUAUCCUACUUUUGAUAAAACUCUAUGCAAUGUAAAAAAUCUCAUGAUUUGUUAAUUAAUCGGUCUCUUCUUGAUAUGUGCCGAGAUUUCUGCCAUGAUUUUCAACCGAUCGCGAAUAUUUUGGCUUUCUGUUAUUUGACUCGGUAAAUUUUCCUUUUUGUUCUGUCUCGGGGUCAUGAGCUCAACGAUGCAGUUUCACACCUCAGUUUAAUAUAACUCGAGAUUGAACUUCUAACCAGUCACGCUUCAAUCUCGAUUGGUCAUGCAAUAGGCGAACCCGGUUUCAACAGUAUACAGAUACUCCCCUCAUUUUUCGGAGAGAAGAUGACGAGAAACGAUAAAAACCUUUGAACCUAAUUUGAUAGACCAUGAUGUAAGCGACAAACUUUACGUCCGAAGCUUCUUCCAUCUUUGUUCUUCAAGAAUCUCUUCGCUUUCCAACCUUUCAACCCAAAUUUCUUCAACAUUCUGCAAACCGCUAAGCACAACCUUUUAACUCAUAUCCUUCUUCAUAAAUAGCGAAAACAUCUAAGAUUGUUGAUGAUAUGUACAAUUACGUAUUUUAGUCUCUUAUUACACUCUAAUGUACUGCAUUUUAAUUAAGUUUGAACUUUAAUCGCUAGUGUUUUGUACUAAAUGUGUGUUUUAUACCAUGUAGUAGUGAUUCCGAUCUAUGUAGAUGUUAUGAAAUAAAUUUAAGUUAUUAUGGAGCUUUGAAAUCUGAGUAAAAGCCCAAGGAUUAAGUUAGGAUCGUGUUCUGGGAUUAACAGAUGAAAGUGCACUUUAAGAAAGAAAUGAAGAAUCGAGCAGGCAUAUGUAUUGUCCAGUAAAAUACACAUAAUGUUUUGCUCAGAAAUUCAUUUGGGCUCCAUAAUAUAUCGUUGAAAAGCUAUUUAAAAGGGCUACACCUUUCAUGUUUUGCAUAUUUUUUAAAUUUUCACAGCCGCGCCGCAUAGGGCGCGCGAUUGUGUAAAUUGCUGCUGCCCUCAAAUUGCAUGCUCUCUGAAUUUUCCCACAAGCACACAGCGUGGCGCAUCGCCCUAUGCGGCAUGCAUGGAAAAUCUUACAGAGCCAGAGUCCUAUUUCGUACAGGAAAAGGUGUUUCAUCUAGGCCCGACCCUACUUGGUAUAAAUACAUGUAAAAGCGCUAUUCUGAGGACUUUUGGCAUACUUUAGACUUGAGAUUCGACCUAAGGAGGCAAGAAUACACUAUGAGCAAUGCAGAGAAUUCUUUUACGAGUUUUUUACUUCCUUCUUUCUAUUUUCAUUAUUGGUUAUGAAUUCUAAUAUUGUAGUUGUGCAUACUAUGAUGAAUAGCGAAUUUUAUCUAGAGUUUUAAUAGAACCUUUUGUAGGAUAACUUUUUAAUGUGUUUUAUAUAAUUAAGCCGCUGAAUUUCUCUACAUGUUCAACUACGUAUUUGUUGCUAUUGAUUGAAUGACCAUUAAUUGACUGUGCCCAUUUAGUGCUUACUGCUCGAGAGAGAGUAUAUAUUUAGGUAGUUGUUGAACAACAUUCUCCUAAAUUAAAUGAGAUAUCAAUACGGAGGGUUUGUGUCAGACCCUAAAAUCCACUAAGGAUCGUGAAGGCGCCAGACACUGCUGUUAGGCAAGCCAACCAGAUUACUUAAUCAAAUCUCAUUUUAACACUUUUGGAAAUGCAUGAUUUUUCUUCCAUAUUUAGAAAUUCUAAAGAAUGCCAUUUUCAAAUCAAAUUUCUUUUAAAGUUAAGCAAUUUAAUACAAUGUUUCAACCAUCCCAGAACCCGGAGUCACAAGUACAUGAGCAUCUACUGAUAAGAGGAAUAUAAAUAUAUCAUCCGUCCGGAAUACAAUAGACGAAAAAUAAACACAGUACUGGAAAUGGACUACCCUAGCUGCGGCCGUCUCGAAUGAUACAGCUCCUUAGUCCCCAGAAUCAGUCGUGCUGCUACAUCAAGUAGACUACUGAAAUCACAUAUAUUUGCGCAACACCAAGUGUUGUAUGAGUACAAAAACAACGUGUACCCAAUGAGUGUCCCGCCUAAUCCCGAAGGAGUAGAGACGGGAUGGUCAAUCCUGACACUCACUAGCAGUCCAAUGACUAUUUAUCCUUAAAAAUAUAUAUUCAAGCACUGAAUUUGAUUUAUAAACAGGAUUCUAAUCCAAAUAUGGGAAAACAGGUAGUCAUACAAUUCUUUCACGAAAAAUUUCCUUAGAUUUCUUGUUAUUAUUAAGUAAAUGAUCUCAAUCCGUAAUGUGGCAUAAAACAACUCAAAUGAGUUCGAGAUAACAUCACAAACAUGCGCAAAUCACGUCAAGGCGAUGGCCCGCUCCAACAGAAAUGUAAAUUUGUGCACUGCCGAGGGUCGAGCGCCCUGUACCAUGAAUGCAUCCAUUUUACCGAGGCGAUCGGCCCGUUCCAACAGAAAUAUAAACACACACAGACAGAUAAACAGUGAAAUAGUCAGCGUGGAGCAAAUAUCCAAGUAAGGUCCAUUCCCUUUAAAUAAUUUGAGAAAAACAUAGCUUUAGUCGUUUUAGAAAUUCGCUUAUUAAUUUAAUAUGAUUAAAGCAUUUCAAGCCAUUGAUGAUCUACAAAUGAUUCAAGUAUAACAUACUUUUUGGGCCCUAGACUACCCGGACAAUAGCAUAAUAGUAGCUACGCACGGACUCUCAUCACCUUGUACGUACGUAGCCCCCACAAAUAGGAGCACAUAAUUAGUUUAAUUCACCUAUGGGGUAAUUCCCGCUCACAUGAUUAGAAAGGACACUCACGUCGAUCCAAAGGCUCAUAACCGACGCUUCACAUAUUUCCGAAAGCUCAAACUAGGGCGCAAAGAUCCAAAACUAGCCAAACAACGACAAACUAAUGAGAAUAUACUCAAAUACUUGCUAACAAUUCAAAUUAUACAAUUUCCCAACUCUGUUUGUGAAAUGAACAAAAUGCCUUCGGGCCCACAUGCCCGGAAAUCCGAAAUUUCUCAAAGAUAAAGGUUACCCAUGACCUUUGGAACUCAAAUAUAUAAUUUUUCCUUAAUAACAUAUCCAAAAUCGUGGUAAAAAAUCCAGAAUACUAAUUUUCUAGGUUUUCCUCUAACCCUGAAAUUUUUCCCUAAUUUUCAUGCCUAAAUCCAUAUAUAAGUGAUGUAUUCAAAUGAAAAGCGACAGGGGUAACUUAACUGAACAUUGACAAAUAAAUCCUCUCUUGAAGCUCCCUAAAAAUCGCCCAAGCCAUGAAGAAAUGGGAGAAAUGAACCAAAUCCCACGAUUUUAAACAAAGCUCUGCCUCCAGCGCUUUUCGCUUUUGCGCAUGCGGUCCCUCAUUUGCAAAAAUAUCAGCCGCUUCUGCGGUCUCUCAACUAACCCGACCAACCGCUUGUGCGGUCUACCCAUCGCAGAAGCGAGUUCGCUUCUGCGGAACAAAAUCGGCUUCUGCGGUUCCUGGCCAAACGUCCACUUCCGUUUUUGCGGAGCCUCAUCUGCGGAGCCUUAGCCGCAUCUGCGGUCCUGACUUCCCCCACGCUUGUCCGGUUCUGCAGCUUCUUCUCCACUUCUACGGGACCGCUUCUGCAGUCCCAUCUCUGCAGAAGCAGAAAUACCAGGUACCAGCUGCUUUGCUAUUUCCAAACAUCCCAUUUUCAAUCCGUUAACCACCCGGAAUUCACCCGAAGGCCCCAACCAAUCCCAAAACACAUUACGGACCAAAUCGAGCCCUCAAAUAACAUCAUACAAUGACAAAUCAUCGAACGACCUCCAAUCCAAACUUUAUGAACUUAGAACUUUCCAACUUCUACUUUCGAUGUUUGAGCCUAUGAAAUAACGUUCGAUCGACUUCAAAUUUUGCACGCAAGUCCAAAUGACAUAACAAAACUACGAAAACUUUCGGAAUUCCAUUCCAACCCUCGGAUCAAAAUCUUACCUAUCAAUCGGAAUUCGCCAAAAUACUAACUUCGCCAAUUCAAGCUUAAUUCUACACCGAUCAUCACAAAAAUAUUCCGGACACACUCCUAAGUCCCUAACCUAACGAAGCUAUCAGAACCAUAAAAUUCGCAUUUCGAGCCCGAUAUCAAAAUUUCCACUUCCGGUCAAGCUUUUAAAAAACCUUCAAAUUACUACCUAGCCAAACGGCUCCAAAAUGACCUACGGACCUCCGGAUUCACUUACGAUCACGCUCCCAAAUCCAAAAUCACUAUGCGGAGCUACGCCCAGUUUCAGAAUUCCAAACGUACAUCGAAAAUGCUGAAAUACACUUCAAGCCAAACUUAUGAAAUUUCUUCCAAAAUGCUAACUUUCACUAUAGGCGUCAAAAUGCUCCCGGGUUAUCCAAAACCUGAACGGGCAUAUGCCCAAGUCCAAUAUCAUUAUGCAAACCUAGUGGACCUUUCAGAUCCUGAUUUCGAGGUCAUUUAGUCCAAAUCAAAUCCUAGUUCAUUCUUCAACUUAAAGCUUCUGAAAUGGGAAUUUUUAUUUAAAUUUAAUUUUGAUCUCCCUGAAUUUAAAUUCCGAUCAUGCGAACAAGUCAUAAUACCCGAAAUGAAGCUGUUCACAUCCUCUGACUGCUGAACGGAGCGCUAGUACUCAAAACGACCAAUCGGGUCGUUAUAGUUUAAAAGCGAAAUUAGAGAUAAUGGAGCUUUGACAUGAUCAUAGUGAGUGGUGAAAAAGUGCAAGCUACCGUAAUUUGAAAGAAUAUGACUAGUACAUAUUGUAUAGAAUUACGAUAAGUCGAGUGCUCAUGAACAGUAACGAAUACUUAGGAAAAAUUAUAUGAGACGUGACAGGAAAGAUUCCGAUAAUUGGGAAAAUCAUAAUUCUAGGCCUCCUUAAUCUUAUUUCAAACCUUAGAAUCUUUAGUUGUUAAUUUACUAUUUUAAUUUGUUAGUUAAUUAAUUAGACAUAAGAAUCUUAAUUUAACUUAGGAAUUGUUCGAGCUUGUAUUCUUGGUGAUAAUAAAUAGUUAUAGCUAACAUUAGUUCUCUGUGGGAUUCGACUCCAAAUUUUUAGACCGGAUUAUAUUUGUAACAAUCGCUUAGUCCUUUUUAUAAGGCAUAGUUCGGCGUAAUCAAAUUUUGGUGCCGUUGCCAGAAAACUAACGGUAUAGCUUUAGGUGUACAUAUUACUAGGUUUCAAGUUUGAACUUUUAUUUUUAUUUUUUUGUAUUUGAUUUUUUUACUUGUUGAAUUGAGAAACAUUGCAUUGUAGAAUUAUAGGAGUUUAAGUAUUAGUAAUUCUAUGAGAAUCAACUGCACAUACAAAAGCAAGAUGCUAUGAUUCGUAACAUGGAGGCACAAGUGAGUCAAUUAGUUGAAGUAUUUAAUGCUCGACAAGCCAAUGUUGGGGAUAGAAUCCAAGAAGAGCAUGAAGUAGAUACCGAAAUUGAGGUUCUAAUAGAGGAGGUCAGAGUAGAACACCAAAAUCUAACCAACUAGAGUUUGAGGAUGCCGAUGUUGAAGAAGUAAUACUAAAAUCAACCAGGGACAUUGAAGGUAUAAAUUAGUUGACUCUAGUAUGAUUGGUGUUGAAGAGGUUGACAAUCUUGAAGUUCAUAUUUUGAGCAUGUUGGACCUCAUUCCAAACACUUCUCUAUAUUAUGUCCAGAUGGUAAAAUAGAUACUGAUCCGUAUGAGCCAAUGUAAGAGUCAAAGGAAGAGGUAGAUGCACGCUUUAUUCUGAAAUUUAUAAGGCCGUCUAGGCAAAGUGACACUCCUCAGUUGAAAGCCAAAAAGUGCAUAAAGAAUUAUUUGAUUUUUGGCUCGCAACAAUUUGUAUUGCCCCAAGAACAUGAUCAUAGAGAAGAAUCAAGAUUUGGGGUCCAAUUCAUAAAUUCAAAGUAGAGGCAGAAAGUGAUUCACAUCAUGCCGCAACGUUAAAUCAAGCGCUUGUUGGGAGGCAAUCCAACUUUACUGCUUUCUUUUAUUUAUUUUUAUUUUUUUAAUUGUAUAAUUUGUAGUGUCGAUUUUUAUUUUUUAGGAGCAUGAAAGCAAAGCUAGUGGAAGGAUACAAUAACAAACUAAAUGAUUGGGAACUAAGUGUGAGGUAUCCGUAUGAAGGACCGGGCCUGGGAAAAAUCUGAGUACCCCAUGAGCUGCUUGUAGUUCGGCCUUUGGACUACCAGUGAGUUUCUUUUACCCUCUUAUUAGUUAUGGUGUUCAUUGGGGACAAUGCACAAAUUUAAGUGUGAGGGGAGGAGAUUGUCUGGGUAACUUUUCAUUCUAUUUUAGCUUGGUUAGUUUUAUCGAAUAAUAUUGUUUUAAAAAAAUAAAAAAAAGAAUGGACUUUUCCCGACGAUGGAUAUCCUAGACAAUUUUCUUGAGAAAUUUAAGUCUAAAGAAAAAAGGACAAACAUAUUUUUAUUGUAGGUAGUGUAAGAGUUAUCCCUUUGAUUUUUCCUUGUGCCGCGGUUCUUUUCGAAGGGUUUUGUUUGAAUUAGAUGUAGGUAAUUUUUUUUAAUAAGAGCCAUGAUGAGAUGAAUUGAAUUGAAGUAAUAUCUCAUGGCUUUGUUAUGCCUUGAGAAUAGCGAGUACUUUGGUUGUGACGCUUAGACUCAGUUUUUGACUCUUGAAUAAGUACUUUACAACAAUAACAACAAUCCAGUAUAAUCCCACUUAGUGGAGUCUGGGGAGGGUAGUGUGUACGCAGACCUUNNNNNNNNNNNNNNNNNNNNNNNNNNNNNNNNNNNNNNNNNNNNNNNNNNNNNNNNNNNNNNNNNNNNNNNNNNNNNNNNNNNNNNNNNNNNNNNNNNNNNNNNNNNNNNNNNNNNNNNNNNNNNNNNNNNNNNNNNNNNNNNNNNNNNNNNNNNNNNNNNACUUCCCACCUUGCUCUUGGGGAGACUCGAACUCACAACCUCUCGGUUGGAAGUGGGGGUUGCUUACCAUCAGAGCAACCCCUCUUGUCUUAAAAGAGAAUUCUGUUGCCGGGACCUGUAUAAGUACCUUAAAUUGUAUAAUUUUAAAUUUGCUUAACUGCUUUGACUAGAGUGUCUUGAUGAAUUCAAUCCUCACUGAGUUAUGUACCAUAUGUGUGUGAGAUUUGGGUGUUAUUUUGUGCAUUGCAUUUGAUGCCUAGAACGUGCCCCGUGUGUUUGUAAAGAGAAAGAGUAGUUUUGUUCAGUCUUGGAAGUGAUAUAGGCAUUUCUUUGUUGAUCCAGAUAUGUAUAUUUUACCCGCCUAAUUAUUAUGUAUCGUAGUUAACCCCUUUGAGCCUAUAAUCCUAUUUCUUUGGCAACCACCUUACAAGCAUUACCCAUUUAGUUGAAUUAACUAUCCAUUUGAACCUUCUAACCUCUCACGAGCACUUGAAUUGUUAUGAACUUUGUAAAGGUUGAGGUGUGGGUGGUUGGUUUAGCUUUUGAAUGGAAUUAAAGAAAUAAGGAGAAAGGUGCAAUGUUUUAAAGAAGUAAGAGCAACUUGAAUUGAAAAAUAAAGAAAUGAAAAAAUAAUUAUAUUGUUGUGAAAAAUAUUCUUUGAUAGUGGUGACUAUUGAUGUAAUUGUGCUUAAAGAAGUAAGGAGUUAAUCAACAUUGAUGUGAAGAUGGAGUUAUGGUUUGGCAUAAGUGUGGGGUUUUAAUUGUUAAAGUGUAUGUAUCAAAGUGAUUAGGGAGGUGUAGUCACUCUUAUAUCUAAAUAUAUCAUACUCGUACCGCAGCCUACAUUACAACCAAAUAAAGUCCUACUUGAUAUUAGACUGAAUGAGCUCGAUUAAUAGAGUAGUACACUACGGGUAAGCCUAUGGUGCAUAUUUUGUAUCAUAUGAAUGUUAUUUCUAAGAGCGAGUGAAUCCUUUCUAUUUUGAUUUCCUAAGUUUUCUUAAAUUUUAUUGUGUGAAACUACUGUCUUUUGUUGUGUGAGGGAACUUGAUUUUAUGAAAGAUAAAGUAAUAUGAGUGACCUCUAUAUUAGAGCAAGUGGGUGAGUUAUGAAUAAUGCAUGGUACUUGUGAGUCAAAUCUAUAUGUGAAGAUGUUACACUUUUGUGAUUAGUCUAUUUUAAAUAUGCUUGGUGUGAUGAGUUAGGAGAAUUUUUCAAAAAGGUCGAGUAUAUAUAAACCGUAGUUUGAUAACUCGAGGACAAGCAAUGGUUUAAGAGUGGGGUGUUGAUGAUAGGCUAUAAUUACGUAUUUUAGUCACUUAGUACACUCUAAUUUACCGCUCUUUAAUUAAGUUGAACUUUAAUCACUGGUGUAUUGCACUAAUGCGUGUUUUAUACCUUGUAGAAGUGACUCCAAUCUAUGUAGAUGUUAUGGAAUGAAUUCAAAUUAUUAUGGAGCUUUGAAGACUGAGUAAAAGCCCAAGGAUUAAAUUAGGAUCAUGUUAAGAGAUUAAUGGAUGAUAGUGCACUUUAAGAACAAAACAAAGAAUCGAGCAUGCAUACUACGUAUUGUCCAGUAAAAUGCGCAUAAAUUUUCGCUCAAAAGUCCGUCUGGGCUCCACAAUAUAUAGUUGGAAAGCUAUUUAAAAGAGCUACAACUUUCUUGUUUUACAUUUUUCAAAUUUCCACAGCCGCGCUGUGUGGGCCACGUCAGCAGUGUAAAUUGCUGCUACCCUCAAAUUGCACACUCUUAGAAGUUCCCCACAAGCACACCGCGUGGUGCGUUGUCCCAUGCAGCACACCUAUGCAAAUUUUACAGAGGUAGAGUCCUAUUUUGAGCAGGAAAAGGUGUUUCAUCUGAGCCCGAUCCUACUUGGUAUAAAUACAUGUAAAAAUGCUAUUUUGAGGACUUUUGACAUACUUUUGACAUGGGAUUCGAUCUAAGGAGGCAAGAACACACUAGGAGCAAGGCGGAGAUUUCUUCUAUGAGUUAUUCACUUCCUUUUUCCUAUUUUCAUUAUUGAUUAUGAAUUCAAGUAUUAUAGUUAUGCAUACUAUGAUGAAUAGCUAAUUUAUUAUCUAUAUUUUUGACAAAACCUUUUGUAGGAUAAAUUCUUGUUAUGUUUUAUAUAAUUAACCCGUUGGAUUUCUCUACUUGUUCAACUACGUGUUUGUUAGUGUUGAUUGAAUGACGAUCAAUGUAUGCCCAUUUAGUGCAUACUAAUAGAGAAAUAGUACAUAUUUAGGUAGGAUUUGAACAACAUCACUCCUAAAGUAUGUGAGAGAUCAAUAUGGAGGGUUUAAAAGCAAAAUUAGAGAUAACGAAGCUUUGGCGUGAUCAUAGUGAACGGUGAAAAAGUGUGAGCUAGCAUAAUUCGAGAGAAUAUUACUAGUAUAUUAUUGUAGUUUCUUGAGAGGGAAUUACAAUAAGUUUAGUGCUGAUCAGUAGUUGAGAAUACUUAGGCGAAAUUAUAGGAGACGUAGCAGGAAGGGUUUCGAAAAUAGGAAAAAUCAUAACUCUUGGCCUCCUUAAUCUUGUUUCCAAAUCUUAGAAUCUUUAGUUUUUAAUUUAAUAUUUUAAUUUAUUAGAUAAUUUUUUAGACACAAGAAUCUUAAUAUUUAUAACUUAUGAGUUUUUCGAGCUUUUAUCUUGGUGAUAAUAAACAGUUAUAGCUAACCUUAGUUCUUUAUGGGAUUCGACUCCGGACUUUUAGACUGGAUUAUAUUUGCAAUGACUGCUUAGUCUUUUUUAUUAUUCAUAGUUGGGCAUGAGCAACUAUCGCACAAGAGGAGGACGCCUCUUCAUCACGACCUGCCAAUAACGAGGCUGUGGCGGAGCCACACCCUGACAAAUUCAUUCCUUGAGGGUAGGAGACCACUACUGAUUUCAAGGUCGAAAAGAUUUCCUCGGUACCGGGUAGAUUUGAACUAGUCUAGAGAUUCAUAUGUUCGAUCACUGAAGGCUUCUUGACCAAGUCAAGGAGUAUUGCAAUUGGGCCGAUAAACGAGUGAUGGUGCCCUUGCUUGAGGAAUCAAUUACCACCCACAUGGAGGGUUUUAAAGUGUUUACACUUGCCCCUUCAUGUUGGGUUCCUUAGAUCCGAUUCAUUAUUUCCUUCUGCAAAAGGUAAUAAGUGACCCUCAGUCAAAUCCAUCCCUCUUUCUAGAGGAUAGUUAUUAUUAUUCACUUUUUCGUAAACAAAAUGGAGGGGUGUUCCGUCACGCUCGAUCAUCUUAUGCGUCUAUAGAAUCCCCGACUCUAUCAAGAGGGAUUAAUCAAACUUUCUCAUUGGGAAACCAUGGCCCUGCUCUCGAGUAUAGAUGAGGAUGAUAGAUAGGUCGAUUUGUUCGAAAGAGGACCUCGAACUUGACCCUACCGAGGAAAUGCCACUUCCUGAGAUAUGGAAUAUGAAACGCAAGUAACUUCAUUUAAAGACUUCGUUUAUUGUUUCUUUCCUUCCCUCCUUUAUCAUCGGUGUUAUUGGGGUGUAGUUAUGGCUUGAAUGCCAGAAGCGGUUCUUCGACUCAAGGAAUGGGUCGAGGGUAUCAUGUAAUAGAGACCAUAUUCCGAGCGCGCAUGGUGUGAACUAUCGAAUGGUCUAUGGGACUCUCGUAACCAUGGUAAGUUUUCUUCUAUGAUUUUAUAGAAUUUGGUUUUCAUCUUGCAUUGUCAGACUCUUAUUGAUUCUAUUUUCCUUUUGUAGGUCUCCCUAAAGACGUUGCUUUGAGGCCUCCAUUCAGUGAUGAGGAUAUGCCCUCUAAGUCCUCUGUUCCGAGGCAGGGUGAUGAAAAGAAGAGAAAAAAGGUUGCAAGUUCUCUGAACUCAGAAAAUAAAAAACCUAAAAGGAGAUCGCGCAAGACCAAGGGAAGCACCAGUGCUCUACCCUCGGAUUCAGUCAAUUGACUAAGGAACGAGUCCGAAGAAGAGGAAGAAAAAUCUAAGUUAGUGGCCCGUGUGCCGGACGAUGCCGUGAUACAAGGCCCUCUAAACCGACAGGUGCCAAAAUUGAACUGCCUCGACAUGAGGAAGCCGUUGAGGGAAGUCUAUCCAGUAUCACCGAACUAGAAGGGGUCAAGGUCAUGCCGCACCAAGCUAGCGGGAUCGAGAAAGAGAGCGGGGAUGAUACUCAUCUAGCACGGGAAAGUGCCCUGAAAGACGCGCUCGGGGUGAUUGACAUUAUCGGGUCCCCAUAGUUCUCAGAUGCCAUGAUCCAAGAGGCCGUCAUGCUAGAAGGUCGUUCUUACAAGAGGCAUCAAGGGGCGACAAAUAUCCACAACUUUUUGGACGGGUUAGAUUCCACUGACUAAGAGGAUGUUACUGGGCUUAUAGACUUACCAGUUCCAAAGAAAGUACCUUCGCCGGGAACCAAUGAAUCUUCCUCGAGCCCAAAGUUAGUGGACGGGUUCCCGACAGUGAGUGUCGACCCUGACCGAAUACAAUGAAUAGUUUUUUCUAUCUCGGAGGAUGCCUAGUUUUCUCUGCCCCGUGGGGAUCGCUAUAUACCUUCGGUGUUUGAUUACCAAAGAAGAUUAGCCAGUGAUGGACAAGGUGGAAACCCCCCGCCUAUUCUAUGAAGCUCAACAAGCAUUAAAUAGGUUAAUUUUGUGUGUCUCUCUUCUUAUGUAUUUUAAAUUAAAAGUUGUAAAUAAUUGUUACACAUUCCUUUAUGCUUGCAGGCUUCGAUGCUGCACCAUGAGAAUUUCCUCUGAUAUUGGGGGGAACUAACUCAUCACGAGUCUGAGGUUCGGGAACUCACUGAGAAGAGGGACACCUACAUGGUUCUCAGUGAGAAGCUUCAAGCUGAGUUAGAAAUGGAGGGAGCAUACCGUGAUGGACGAGCAAGUAAUUCGAGUACUUCACGGUGGUGAAGAUGAAUUGGACAUAGUGGCUAACGAUCCGACCCUACAGGUCCUAGAGAGACUUGAUCAAAUCUGGUAGCUCAAGGCACAAAUAGAUACAAUACAAGCCAAUACUGAGGAGUUCAAGAAAAAUAUGGACAUCUUAGCCUAAAAAAAGGAAGCCAUCCAUGUAGAAGUGGAAUUGGCCGAAACCUAGCUCCGAGAGGCAAAAGAGAAGACCUCGGUACAGGUCAAUAAAAUUGAGGAGCUUCAAUCCCAAUUGGACUUGGCUAUUCCUGAUAAAGCGAAUUUGGCCAAGGAACUCGAGGCAGCCAAAUCAGAGGCGGUUGUGGCCAGUACCUUGCGCUAAAGUGGCCCACUAAAAGGUUGACAUCAAGGUGAUUCAUACUUAGGCCAAAAGUAUGGUGGAACAUACGAGGUGGAAAGCUCAAAGGGAAUCCCUCUAUGGAGUUCAUGUUAGAGCUUCGAUAUACUGGCUAAAAUUAAAAAGUCCAAAAGUAGAAGAAACAAGGGUCAGGAGACUGGACUUUCCCGAGGAGGAUUCCUAGAGCUUAAGUGAGUUUGAAGGCAAGGAAGAUCCCGAGGAUAAAGAUGAUGCUUUCAAUGAAGACCAUGCCACUUGGGCCUUUCUAUGUUUUGUCAUGCCCCAAAUCUGAAGAAGUGUAGCCGACACCCAGUUCCAUACUCGGCCUAAGUGAACCACUCUGUAACUGUGAACUGUCUCUCUCUCUCUCGGUAUAUAUAUAUAUAUAUAUNNNNNNNNNNNNNNNNNNNNNNNNNNNNNNNNNNNNNNNNNNNNNNNNNNNNNNNNNNNNNNNNNNNNNNNNNNNNNNNNNNNNNNNNNNNNNNNNNNNNNNNNNNNNNNNNNNNNNNNNNNNNNNNNNNNNNNNNNNNNNNNNNNNNNNNNNNNNNNNNNNNNNNNNNNNNNNNNNNNNNNNNNNNNNNNNNNNNNNNNNNNNNNNNNNNNNNNNNNNNNNNNNNNNNNNNNNNNNNNNNNNNNNNNNNNNNNNNNNNNNNNNNNNNNNNNNNNNNNNNNNNNNNNNNNNNNNNNNNNNNNNNNNNNNNNNNNNNNNNNNNNNNNNNNNNNNNNNNNNNNNNNNNNNNNNNNNNNNNNNNNNNNNNNNNNNNNNNNNNNNNNNNNNNNNNNNNNNNNNNNNNNNNNNNNNNNNNNNNNNNNNNNNNNNNNNNNAUAUAUAUAUAUAUAUAUAUAUAUAUGCAGGAUGAUGAAGCUAGCAUCAACAUCUACUGAUAUAUAAAAUAUACAUGACUUACCUUUAAGCCUAUAUUGAUAAGUAAACUGUACCAUGGUCAGGACAGGGUAUCGACCUACCCAUCAAACCUGUAUAUUUAAAAUGGACUUCAAGGUCUAGACUUGGCAACUUCGAGGAAGUUGAGCUUACCAACCAAAAAUUAGAUUGGCUUUUUUGUAGAGAAAGGUCCAUCCGCUUUUGUUUUUGACUAAUGUUUCACUUUGUCUGCUAGGAGGGUAUGUCCAACUAUCAACAAGGACAUGCAAGCAUGAAAUUCAACAUCCCCGGCAAGAGGGAUGUCGGUAUAAAAUAAUGUACAGAGUAUGUAAAACGAUAGAAUAACUAAAAACUGAAACUGGACUGAUAAAAUAAUAACUGAAAGUAACUAGAAGUCAAAGAUAAUUUGAAGAUAUGCUUACCUGCUGAUACUAACUCGACUCACUCAAUAUAGUAAGUAAAAUAGUUGCCCGGCCUUAUAAGGCUUGAUAUGUGUAACUGCUAUGCCAUAGUAGGCUCGCUCAUAGGCACUUGGACAUACUAGGCUCUGUAUCUCAGCCAUUUCGGGCUUUCCCAUAGGCGCUCAGCCAUGGUAGAAUCCGUCUAUAACUCACCAUCUAAUCAGGGGUUGCCUAAAAGGAGCCUGCCAAUCGAUUAUAGCUCGAUGGUGGUGGAAUACUUUAAUACUAUAAUUGUAUGUAUUUGUGCAUGUGUGUAUAUAUAUAUAUAGACUCUCUACUCUCUUGGCUGAAAGAAGACAAAACUAAAAUGAAUAUGACGUCCCGAUAAGGGAGAAUGAUGUAUCUUAUGAAACUAGAAAAAUGUACAUAAAUUUAGAAAUAUGAACUUCUCUUUAUGUCUCGUUAUCGAACACAUGUAGUUACUGGAUCAUGCCAAAAUGAAGGAAAGGUUUAGCCUUAACAUACCUUAAUUCCAUUGAGUCCUUAAUACCUUCCAAACAAAUCUUCAAACAACUCAACUCAAUCUACCACAACAUAAGAAGAUUCAAAAUCAGUGCUGAGUAAAUGUUAAGUCCGCAACUUAAACUAGUAGCUCAUUUACGUAUUUGGACAACAUCUCCCCUGUAACAGAGCGCUCUUCCAAUACCAUAUACAACCAACCAACAACAAGAACACAAUAAUAACAACAUGUACGCAUCAUUUUUCAACUUUAUCUCCAUCACAAUAUAGCAUAAAAUAGCCCAAAUACCCUAAUCACUUCAUACAUAAAACGAAAACAAAAUUAGUGUCUGACAACCUAAAAAUGUAAUGACGAGUGACAGCCUAACGUUAUGUUAUUAUGUGGUAUUUAUCAAUAUCUGUUAUCCCCCAAAACUCCAUAAAACAUCAGCAAAAUAGACAGCCCAAAAGCAACACGAAACAGACCAUAAAGUAGUCCACUACAAGUCGAAUAACUCGAACUGAUGGCUUUCGAUCACCGUCCCGUGAGUUAUAACUAUUAGGAAAUGAAUUUAUCAACCUUUUAUUAAUAUUUAACGCUUAAAUAAAAAAAGUAGUUGCUUUGUUAACUAUGAAGUGCUUUUCAUAACUCAAACUACAAAAAAAAAAGAAAGAAGAAGAGGCGAUAUAGCGACACUUACGUCGUAGGAUUAUUGUAGUGUUAUCGCUUCUUGAUUUCGUACCUGAGAUGUUAAUAUUCUUGGAAAGCCUUGCAGAGAGCUAGAGGAUAAGUUUAGGGGUCUUAUUUUGGUUGUGGUAUGUGAAUAAGUGAAGAAAUAGACGAAAUAAAGCCUAUAUAUGUCCAUUUUUGAAAAGUCAAAGAGGUACUAGCUUGGCACCCUAUUACUGGCUCUUCUUCAAAUGCUUAUAUCUUUUUAAACAUUUGUCAUAUGAACAUAUGGUUAAGAGUGUUAGAAAUUAAAUUAAAAUACCUUCAAUUUGGUAUAUAAUAUAUCCCAAAAGACCUCAUAUAACACAAAAAUGUAUUGCUCAAAAAGCUUUAGUGACACACCUACUUGUCACCUAUGCAGUCUGUGUAGUCUUGUAAAACUGCAAAUAUCUCUCUACUCCUAUAUCAUACUGAUGAACGGUUAAUGCUUAGAAAAUAAAAUCAUAGAUAUUUUAUUUUGUAAGUAUAUGAUCCCCUAAUUCCAAGAAUAUUGAGAGAAAAGCUCAGCUACAUUUGGCGUAAAUUUCAACAUAUUUAUAAAUGUAACUUGUAAUGAUCUUUGCCAACCUUUGUUCCAGAACUCACUUGACUUCAAAACAUAAUACACGAAUAUCAUAAGCCAAAAAAAAAAAACUCAUAACAUAACCUCCUUAUCAUUUUGAUCACCCUAGUGUCACCCCAAAAGUACAUGUUAUAACAUUCCCAACUUGUCGAAUUUCGACGAAACUUAUUUUCUUCAAUUCGUUUAGUUUCUAAACCUUCCAACCCUCUUCUUGGCAUUCGUCAUCUUAAAUAUUUUGUAAUCUCCACGGUAACUUGAUUAAGUUAAUUUAUAUACUUUCCAAUCAUGAUCUCAUUUAUGAGCUUAUAUCAAUUGACUUAAGAUGUAAUCUUACGUAUAAAAACAUGGGGUGUAAUAUGUUUUUAUUUAUUUUUGCUUUCUUUUGCAUCUUUUUGAGGCUAUUUUGGCCGUUGUAAAAUUUUGUAUUAAGCCAUUCUAGCCUUCGUAAAAAGAUUAUUGGGGAAAUAUAUAUAAGUCUAUCUUUCCCUCUCGGCUUUCAAUUUUUCCUUCGUCAUUACUUUUAUUCACAAAGGACGGAAUGCCUUAGCAUAAAAUAACUUACGUUGUGAAAGUCCGAAUAAAUCCUGGCUUUACAUUAUUCUAUUUUUGAGGCAUCUUGACGGUUCGGUGUUACCGGGGAAUUUCCCCCAAAGUAAGUAACUCAGAUUAUAGUUUGCCGAUUGUAGCCUUUAUAACCGGCUAUGAAAGUUUUGAAGGCCUAUUUUUGUAAUGGUUCUCGAACGUCUCCUAGCCAUGUUAAUAUGGCUAUAGCCUUUAGUUCGGGCGUCGCCAAGUGAUCUUGCUUUCUUGAGUUAUCCAUGCUUGCCUAAGAUAAUAGUCCCCGAGUGGUUAUGGCCGUGACCUUUAAAAUUUGGGGGUUGCCUAAUAGGUCUUAUGUCCCCGAUGUUUAAUAGAUCGAUCUGUUCGAGUUUUUUUUCAGACAACAGUCCCUGAGUGAGGGAGUGAUCAUCUGAAAUCUAGUUAUAAUCAGCCUUUGAGCUCGUUUCCUUUAGGAGAUCGAAAGUAUAAAAUUAUUUAAGGGAUGUAAAAAGAAAUAAUUUAAAACAUAAAAUACUGCAAGGAAAGUAAUUCUCUUUAUUCUUGUGAUAAACAGUUAUACAUCCGUACAUGUUUUAUGCAGGGCUCGAGAAAUCUACGUGGGCACUGUUAGCUUAACCGUUUGGCCCUUACAAUAAAUCCUACCUAUCCAGACCUUUCCAUUACGAAGUAAUUUCCUCGCUAAAGUCGACAUGCUAGGUUAAUGCCCCCCAAUAUUUGAGUUUGAUUGUAGGGAAACCUCAGAUACUAUAAACGUGACCUUCCAAACUUAUUCGUGAUUGUCCUUUGAUUCUAAUUUAUCACGAUCCAUUUUUGCCUCAUUGAAAACCUUGUUGGAAAAUCCAUUUGGGACAAAAUCUAUCUAAGGAAAAAAGAGUACAACGCAUGUUUUCAGGCCUAAAACCUUGUGCUGGUUCUUGUCGAUCACCUGCUAAUGUUAGUAAAAAAUAAAAGUAAAUUAAUGGGGUCAUACCUUAGUAGUAAUAUGGUUUUAGGUGAGUUACAUUACAAUUGCUUGAUAGUUCUACUCUACUCAUCAUUCCGAGUUUAUAAGAUCCUUUUUUGGUGGCCUCGAGAAUCUAGUACGGUCCUUCCCAGUUCGGACCUAACUUCCCAUUGUUCAGAUUCUAGGUGUUCAGUGUGGCUUUUCUUAGGGAUAAGUCCCCGACAUUGAAGUAUCGAAGUUUGGCCCUUCAAUUAUAAUACCUCUCACUCCGUUGCUUUUGGGCGGCUAUUCGGACAAGGGCGACUUCACGCCUUUCAUCCUAUAGUUCCAGGAUCGUGUUCAAGGCCUCAUCAUUUGGUUCCUUUGUUUCAUAUUAGAAUCUGAUACUUGGCUCUAUGACUUCGACCUAUAUUAGACUUCGGUGCAAAAAACCAAUGAGAACGGGGUAGCCCCCGUACUGGAUUUCGAGGUCGUGUGGUUUGCCCAAAGAACUUCAGAUAGAAUUUCCUUCCAUUUUCCCUUGGUGUAGGUCAACCUUUUCUUCAGGUUUUGGAUUAUGGUUUUGUUGGCCGGUUGGUCUUGUCUGUCUCUACUAGGUUGACAAGGUGUGGACAAGAUUCUUUUGAUCUUAUGAUCCUUGAUAAACUUGGUCAUAUUGUUGCUGAUAAACAUUUUCCUGUUGUCACGUACGAUUUCAGUUAACAUCCCGAAUCGACAUAUGAUAUGGUCUUAAAUGAAGUUGAUAACUUCCUUCUCUGUGACCUUCUCGUACAGCUGAAAUUCAACCAGCUUGGAAAAUAGUCAGUCAUAAAUAAGACAAAUUGAGCCUUACUUGGUGCCCAUAGAAUAGGGCCAACAAUGUCUAUUCCUCACUCCAUGAAAUGGCCGUGGAAACAAGACUGAAUGCAUUAUUUUCCUGGGUUGAUGAAUCAUCAGAGCAUGUCUUUGGCAUUUAUCACAUUUUUGAACGAAUUCCUUUGCAUUUUUCCUAUAUCGAUAUAGUAAUAGCCAGCUUAGAUUUCCUUUCGAACCAAUGAUUCAGCGCCUGAGCGGUUCUUGUAGGUGCCUUUGUAGACUUCCCUCAAAAUGUAUUCGGUAUCUCCUGGUCCCAUACACAUUGCUAGCGGGCUAUCAAACAUUCUUCUGAACAAGGUUCCAUCAUCGGACAAGCUGAAUCGAGAUGCCUUUAUGCGUAGGGCCCUCGACUCUUUUAGAGCUGAGGGUACUUUGCUUCAAAUAUUCUACUUAUUUAUUUCUCCAAUCCCAAGUUCGGCUUGUGGAGUUUAUUUUAGCAUGACCUUCUUCUACUAUCAAUCUCAUAAGCUGUACGACUGCCCUUAAUUUGAGCUCAUCAUCCUCGACCGAAUAGUCGAAGUUAGCAAGUGCAUCGACCUUACUAUUUUGAUCUUGAGGUACAUGCUGUAAAGUCCGCUCCUUUAAUCGAUGUAAUGUUACUUGUAGCUUAUUCAGGUAUCUUUACAUCUGCUCUUCUCUAACUUUGAACAUUCUGUUAACUUGAUUUACUACAAGGAGGGAGUCACAUUUUGCUUCGAUCAUCUCCUCCCCUAAGGUUUUGGACAGUUCAAGACCUGCAAUUAUGGCCUCAUAUUCGGCCUUGUUGUUAGUAAAUUUGAUAAUUCUAAUGGAACUAUAUUUCCUAUGGGUGACUUUAGUAUGAUACCAAGUCCAGACCCCUUUACAUUACUUGCACAGUCGUAAAGAGGGUCCAGAUUCCCGAAGAUGUCCCAGAGUUUACCAAUAACUAUCUUUUGACCUCGGGUAUUAGGGCCUGUAUAAUGUCGGCAACAAAAUCUGCCAAAAUUUGAGACUUAAUUGUUGUCCGAGUUCAAUGUUCAAUAUCAUACCCGCUAAUUUCUACGGCUAAUUUGGCCAGUCUACCCAAGAGUUCGGUCUUAUGCAUUAUAUUUUGUAGUAUGUAUGUUGUCACAACACACAUAGGGUAGCACUGAAAGUACAAUUUUAGUUUCAUAGAGGCGCUUAGCAAAGCAAGCAACAUUUUUUCUAAGUGAGGAUAUCUAGUUUCGGCCUCACCAAAGGUCCAGCUAACAUAAUAUAUCAAAAAUUAUGUAUCUUGUUAUUCUCAAACUAGGACUCCACUUAUCGUUAUCUCAGAUACUGCCAAAUACAAGUACAAUUAUUCGUCCAUCUUCAGUGUGUGAAGCAGUGGUGGGCUUGAUAGAUGUCGCUUGAGUUCUUCCAAGACCAGUUGGCAUUAUGGGGUCCUUGUGAAGUUGUUUUUCUUCUUCAACAACGAGAAAAUCGAUGACUCUCGUUGGAAGACCUCAAGAUGUAUCGCCCUAGGGCAGCUAUGCGCAUAGUUAGUCUUUGCACGACCAUUACAUUGUCCACUACCGUGAUAUCCUCGAUAGCUUUGAUCUUGUCAGGGUUGACCUCAAUUCCUCUGUUGGAUACCAUGAAUCGAAGAAAUUUACCCGAUCCAACUCUAAACGCGCAUUUUUUCGAAUUUAGCUUCAUGUUGUACUUCCUCGAUAUACUGAAAGAAUCCUACAAAUGCUUUAAAUUGUCCUCUUCUCGCAGGGGACUUAACUAAAUAAAUAACAUUUUGUCAAUAUAAACUUCCAUAGAUAUUUCUAUUUGUUGUUCGAACAUCCAAUUUACUAGGCGUUGGUAUGUGGCACCAACAUUUUUAAUCAAAAUGGCAUUAUGUUAUAAUAGCAUGUGCCAUAUUUAGUGAUGAAGGAGGUCUUUUCUUGAUCAUACAUGUUCAUUCGUAUUUGGUUGUACCCAAAAUAGGCAUCGAUAAAAUUGAGAAUCUCGGGGUCGGUCGUGGCAUCGAUCAUGCGAUCGAUGUUUGGCAAAGGGAAAGUGUCUUUGGAGCAUGCCUUGUUUAAAUCCUUGUAAAUCAUACACAUUCGCAGUUUGUUCCAUUUUUAGGGACUACUGCUAUGUUUUCUAGCCAUUCCGGGUAUUUGACUUCCCGUAUAGACCCUAUUUUAAGGAGUUUAGUUACCUCGUUCAUGAUGAAAAUAUGCUUGAUCUCGGACUGUAGUCUCCCUUUCUGCUUGACUGGAUGAAAUUUUGGGUCUAGACUUAGUUUGUGAGUGGUGAUCUCCAGUGGGAUCCCUGUCAUGUCGAUAUGGGACCGAAAAAAACAAUCCAUGUUAGCAAUAAGAAAUUAAAUGAGUUACUUUCCUGAGCCCGAGAGUUAACCUUGUGCCCAAGAAUACCUUUCGAUAAGGCAGAUGUUCGAUUAUUAUGACUUGCUCCAGCUCUUCAACCGUUGAUUUGGUAGCAUCGGACUCAUCGAAGACUAUGAAAGAUCAAGGAACUCCAUAAUCAUUGUCUUCAUUAGUCCCUUGUUUUUCCGGUUGGUCGAGGCCGGUAUUAGUGAUUGCUAUUUGGCUUCUUGUUUUGUUUUUGAAUCUGGCUCCUUUGUCGAUGGGGGUGUUGAUAUUGGAAUUAAUUCAUCGACAACAAACAUUUCCUUUGUGGCGGGAUGCUCCCCUUAGAUUGUUCUAAUUCUCUCUAACAUUGGGAAUUUUAACACCUGGUGAAGGGUUGAGGGCACUACUCUCAUGUUGCGGAUCCAUGUUUUCCCGAAUGGAGAAUUAUACCUCAUGUACCCGUUAAUCAUGCAAAACUUGGUCUCCUGGAUGGUUCCGGGUGCAUUUACUGGAAAUCUUAUUUCUCCUCUAGCAGUUUCACAAGCCAUGUUGAAUCUGUUUAGUAAUCGGGUUGUACGUACGAUCUAGUUCUUGAGGUCGAGUUGUUCUACGACCCUCGAUCGAAUGUUAUUGGCCGAGCUUCCUGGAUCAAUUAACACACAUUUAAAUCGUGUUCUAUUCAUGAGUACUGAAAUUACCAGUGCAUCAUUAUGGGGCUGCAUGAUUCCUACUGCAUCCUCAUCGUUGAAAGACAAUGUUCCUUCUGGUACGUAAUCUCGAGUUAGUUUCUCCCUCGCAAUUGAUCCUUUGGUGCGCUUUAACAUCAGAACUUGAGGAACAUUGACCCCUCCGAUGAUAAGAUGAAGGAUGUGUUGAGGUUCUUCUUGCUUGUUUUGUUUACUAGAAUCUAUAUUUCUAAAAUAAUUCUCUGCUCGGUCGCUAAAAACCUCCCGAUGAUGCCCGUUGUUGAAUAAUCGCGCUACCUCUUCUCUCACUUGUCGAUUAUCUUCCAUUCUAUGACCAUGGUUUCCACGAUAGUCACACAUUUGUUUCGGAUAUCCUCGAGCUGGAUAGAUUUAUAAAGUUCGAGUCCAUUUGGUAUCUUUGAUGCAUCCAAUAGCUGACACGACAACGGCUGCAUCAACAUUAAAGUUGUAUUCUGAUAAGCGAGGUGCUUCUUUGGGUACUAUAGGCUUGUUGAAGCCGUUCUUGCUCAUGAUCCAUUGAGAGCUUUGGCCUCGAUCACUUCUCCUUUCAUUAUGUACAGGAUUCAUCCCAGAUCCGUUGCUCCUACGAUCUCCACAAUAUGCUAUUAUCUAUAUUUGUUCAACCUCGAUUCUCGGACAAUAUCCCCCAUAAUUCUGUCAUCGAGUCUGAUAGGAUAAACAGACCCGGAAGGAGCCCCAAGUUGAUCAUCCUUGACCCUAAUUUUUGAUUGGUACCGAUUAUGUGCAUCGACCCAAGUAUCAAAUGGGUACUCUAUCAAAUUCUGCUUCAACUGCUACAAAGCCACCAAGCUUCGAACAUUGAGUACUUGGGUGAAAGCUUGAAUAGCCCAAUCAUCAGCAACGGAUGGCAGAUCAAUCUGUUCCAUUUGAAAUUGAGAAAAAAAUUCUCGGAGCAUUCUAUUGUCCUUCUACCUUACCUUGAAAAGGUUCGAUUUCCUAGUUUCAACUUUGGCAACGUGCGCCUUUACAAAACAAUCUAAAGCAUAGGAAAUGAGCAAAUAUAAUAAGGUGGUAAAUUGGUACCAUAUCAUAGCCCCAUUUGAUAGGAUCUCUACGAAUUUCUUUAUUGAUCUCGUCAUCCUCUAGAUCAUUCCCUUUGAUGGUACAUGUGUAAGAGGUGACAUACUCAUUCAGAUCGAUCUUUCUGUUGUAUUUAGGAAUCCCGUGCAUUUAAAAAUUCUAUAGGAUCAACUUGGGAGCCGCAUUUUGGGAAAAGGCUUUUGCAUGAACUUUUUGGAGUCGAGACUCUUCAAUAUUGGUGGUGCCCCCGGGAUUUGAUCGAUCCUAGAGUUGUAAGUUUCCACCUUCUUAUCGCUUGCCUCGAUAUUUUUUCCGCUUUCUCAAUUUGUUUUGUUAGUUUUUGGAGCAUCUUCAAGAUUGCAGGAUCGGUCCCCAAUUCUUUCUCGUUCGAUUUCCUUGAAACCGAUUUGACCUUAUGGGCAGCUUCCUGUGACGGAUCGGGCUCGAUCCAGCUCGAUGGGUGAUUCUGGUUUUGGAGCUAGGUUGCCUCUUCCUGUUGGGGCUGCAACAUUUCGAAGAUCACCUGUAGGUUGAUCCCGCCAUCUUCACCGCCAUGUAUGCUUUGAGCGGCUGAUCGAACGUCCCUGCAGAUGCUGCUCUCGGGAUUGACAACCAAAUUUGCGUUAAGGGCUACUUGUGAGCUGAUAUCGAUUGGAUAUACAGCUGGAACUCCAUCAAGAUUGACCGGAGGCACGUCGUUUCCUGGUUGUAUGUUAUCAUUCUCGCUGUGGUUGGCGAAAUCAUUGUCAACGUUAAGGAGUGUUAACUGGGAUUUCAACAUUUUGACCCUGGAAUUAAAGAUAUUUCAAAGAACAAGUGAAAAAUAGUGUGUGCUAUGAAAGUUUGUAUCGUAUAACCACAAUUAUCCUUCGCCUCGCGAUGUGCGCAAAAUUGUUUACCCUAAUAAAUGUAUAAAAAUUAAAUUUAUAUGCGGUUUUAAAAAUAUGUGAUAUAAUUUGGAACAAAUUAAGAAGAUAAAUUAAUAUUAAAAUUAUUGAUAAGAAAAUUAUUGAACACCCUUAGCCUUAGAGUUUGAUCACCCUCGAGCCAAGAGAUGCCUCUUCAUAUGUAAUAACAUAAUAACAAGGUGAUAAGAUUUAGAAAUAACAGUAAAUUGCUUUGUGUUGUGUAUUUCAAUAUGUGUUACAAAUGAUCAAACCCCCCUUUAUAUAGUAGGGGUGUCCUACUCCUUAUAAAACUCUAUAGAAAGUAAAAAAUCAUGAUUUGCUAAUUAAUAUGCCUCUCCUUGAUAUGUGCUAAGAUUUCUGCCGUGAUUUUAACUGAUCGCAGAUAUUUCGGCCUUUUGUUAUUUGACUCGGUAAAUUUUCCUCGAUCUUAUUUGGUCUCAAUUAUUUUCGGUCCCGGGGUCACGAGCCCAGCGAUGCAGUUUCGCACCUCGGUUCGAUAUUACUCGAGAUUAAACUUCAACAUGUCACACUUCAGUCUCGAUUGAUCAUACAAUAGGUGAACCCGAUUUCGACCGUAUACAAUAAUCAAAUAAUUUACGUGCAAUUUACAUAUAAAAACAAAUAGAUAUAGCUAAAGGAAAUAGUAGUAGUCGCCUAGCAAGACAAUUAAUAUGUGAUAGAAGUUAAAAUUAGUACCGUAAUAUCUCGAGUUUGAAUUUCUAUAAUUUGUCGUUUUUAGUUGGAAAUAUGUUACUUUGUUGUUAAUUAUUUUAAUUUCGCAUCAUUUAUGUGAUAAUAUUUGACUAAUAUAUAAUUUUAUAAAAAGAAGAAAGACUCUUAACAUGUAAAUUAAUAUUAUUGAUGGCGAGAGUUCCACACGUGCUUUCACAUUUCUCUCUAUCAUAAAGGUGUGAAGUGUAUUUUACAUGAGUCCCAACAAGUCCUAUCGCUUUGUUCACUUUCUAUUCAAUGAUCUUUUAUUUUUUCCCGAAUGAUUGGCGAUUGGGUAUGUUGAUACUAUUGCUAAGUUUUAAUAGAAAAAUGGCUUUCAGUACAGAUUACAUGUUAAUAAUGUUUACUCUCAAAAUCGGAUUACAAUUGCAUUUGUACGUAUUUUUAAAAAUAUGUGAUAUAACUUAGUACAAAUUAAGAAGACGGAUUAAUGUUGAAAGUAAUAAUAAAAAGAUAAAUACAAACCACACAAAUUAAACAGCCUUGGCCAUAGAGUUUGAUCACCCUCGCACCAAAAAUGCCUUUACUUAUGUAAAAAUAGAAUAACAAGGUGAUAAGAGCUAGAAAUAACUAUAUAUUGCUUUGUAUUGCGUAUUUCAAUGUGUGUUACAAAUGAUCAGACCCCCUCCCUUUAUAUAUUGUAGGGAUUUCCUACUCUUGAUACAACUCUAUACAAGGUAUUUCUAAUUAACUCGAGGACGAAUGUUCCAAAGGGGGAAUGAUGUUACACCCCAUAUUUUUGGACGUCAGAGUACGUCGUAAGACAAUUGAUGUAAGCUCACAAAUAUGAUCAUCUUUGAAAGCACAUAAGGUAAUUUAAUCAUGUUACCAUGGAGGUUACAAAUAUAUAAGAUCAUGGAUAACAAGUGCCAAGAUGGUUGAAAGACUUAAAAGCUAAAUAAAUUGAAGAAAAUAAAUUUCGUCGAAUGAUGACAAGUUGAGAAAUUUAUAACAUGUACUUUUGGCGGUGAUAUUAGGGUUAUUAACAUGAUAAGAAGGUUAUUGUAUGAUUUAUUCUAGUCUUUUGAUAGUUGUGUAUUAUAUUUUAAAUUCAAGCGACUUGUGAAACAAUAGUCGGAAAAGGUCUUCACAAGUUACAUUCAUAAAUAUUCUGAACAUUAGGUCAAAUGUAGCUGAUCAUUUCUCCCAAUGUACAUGAAAUUACGGGAUGAUAUACCUACCAAAUUGAAUAUCUACGAGUCUAGUUUCCAACAAAGUAAACCGUUAAUUAGUAAAAAAUUGGAAUAGAUAGAUAUUCAUCUCUUUGUGAGACUGCGCAGACAAGUAGGUGACAAGUAGGUGCAUCACCUACUUGCAAAAAGGAGAGGCAGCCUCUCCUAGAUACGUACCGAGGUUCCCGCCUUGAUCUUCAACUGAUCACGAAUAUCUUGGCCCUAUGUUAUUCAGCUCGACAGAUUUUCCUCGAUCUUGCUCAGUGCCGGGAUCAUGAGAGAAAUGUUGUAACUUCGUACCUCGAUUUGACAUAACACAAGAUCGAGCGUUUACCUGUCAUGUUUUUGUCUCGAUUGGCCAUAGAAUAAGUGAACCUCAUUUCAACCGUAUACAGAUAGUCCCCUCAUUUUUCGGAAAGAAGAUGAUGAAAAACAAUAUGAAGUUCCACACCCAGUUUCAAUAGAUCAUGAUGUAAGCGAUAAACGGUUACUAAAACAUCCCCUCGGUCUAGUUACCAUGGCAUUAAAUGCAUGUCAGUCAUUAGCCAACCACUAUAGGAUUUGAACAGUCAUUAGCAGAUUAUAAAUAUCCCAACCUUCGCUCAUCCAAAUUUAUGCCCAAAAUCAAUUCUUAAUUUUCAAAAAAUCUUUUCAUUCUCCAACUUUAGUAUCCAAAUUUCUUGAACAUUUUGCAACCUUCUCAGUUUCUUCUACUCUCCUUUAAAAUGGUGAAAACUUUUACGACUGUUCAAUAAAAAGAAAAAGCCUCUUCAUCAUGGCCAACCGUCGAUGGGAUUAUAGCGGAGCCACUCCUUCAGGAGUUCGUUUCAAGAGGGUGCCUAGUUGGUACUGAUUUCAAGAUCGAAAAGACUUCCUUGGUACUGGGUCGAUGUAAGCUGGUGUCAAGAUAUAUAUGUACAAUCACUUAUGAUAUCCUUUCCAAUGUAAAAAAGGAUAAUAACUGGGCCGAUAAACAAAUGGUGGUGCCCUCGCAUGAGGAAUCAAUUACCACCCACGUGGAGCAUCUUUAAGUGUUUAGACUUUACCUUCAUGUUCGGUCCCUUGGAUCCAAUCAUUAUUUCCUUCUACAAAAGGUAUGAAGUGACCUCGGUCAUAUUCACCCCUCUUUUUGGAGGAUAGUGAUUCUUCUUUGUUUUUUUGUAAUCAAAAUUGAGGGUUGUGACUUCACCCUUGAUCAUCUUAUGCUCCUGUAUAGUCGCAUACUUUAUCGAGGGGGAUUAAUCAAACUUGCUCGCCGUCCACCAGGGCCCGAUUAUCGAGAAUAGAUAAGGAUCAAGACCGAGGUAGAUGGGAUGAUUUGCUCGAGUCAGGACCUCAGACUUGAUCCCUGUCGAGGAUAUGCCAUUUUUCGGGAAAUGGAAGAUGAAGCGUAAGUAUAACUUCUCCUUCAUUUAUUGUUUCUCUCCUUUUCUUCUUUCUUCUCCGUUUUCUUGUGGUGCAGCCAUGUAUUGGAUGUUAGAUAUAGUUAAUCAACUCAAGCAAUGGGUUGAGGGUCAUAGAGACCAUAUUCCAUACGCAUAUGGCGCAAAUUGUCGAAGGGUUGAUGGGAGUGUCAUGAUCCAAUUUCCACAUUAGGUCGCGAUGGAUCCCAACACCGAGGUUAGGAAAGCCAAGAUUAAUCAACUAAUUGGUUUCAUUUAGGUUAACAAAAACAUAUCCAACUUUUACUUAGAUUAAAUUUAAAGCAUUCGAUAAUAACGAAUAAUUUAGGCAAUCUAAAACUGAAAUGACCAAAUGAAGUCAUAAUUAAGUGAUUACAUCCCAAAAGAAUAGCCUACUAGUGUGUGUUCCAAGACCUGAUGUCACAAGUAUUGGGCAAUCUAGUAGAAUAUUAAAAAACCAUGCUAUCCUAUUGUAUGGAAAGGAAAUAGACAAGAAAAGUAGAAAUACAGAAAGACUCCAGUUGCUGCAGAACGACUCCGAAGGGAAGCUCACCGAAAGUCUCAAACCAAAGAGUCCACUUUGCGUGAUGGACUGAUGGCCAGAUGCACCUACCUCAAAGCCUGCACAAUCAAGUGCAUAAGCAUAGUAUGAGUACAUAAACGAUAUGUACCCAGUAAAUAUCUAGUCUAACCUUAAGGAAGUAGUGACAAGGUGUCGAAUUGACACUUACUAGGGCCAAUAAAUGUAAUAAUAUGAAGUUCAAUAUUCCAAUUCACAAUGUACAUAGAUAGCAACAAGUUCAAACAAGAAAUAAUACUAAAAAUCCUCUCAUCAAAUAAAUAAAUCUAGGCAUUUCCUUCAUUUAAAAUAAGUGGCCUUACAAGCAAUAAAUCUUAUGGAUAAUAAGAGGUUCCGGUUCCAUUAUCACAUGCAAAUACCACCAAGAACAUUCGGCCCGAUCCAAUAUAAAAGUAAACUGUGCACUGUCGAGGGUCGAACGGCCCGAACCAUAUGAGUACAAUUAUCAACCUGUCGAGGCAAACGUCUGCUCCCAUGAGAGUAGUAGAAAUAAUCACCCCACUCGCGGAAUAUACUUGCGACACAGUUAAGUAUAAAUACAACUUAAAUAUUUCCUUAAUCCUUUUCAAAAAUAAUUAUUUACUACAAAUCCUUGAAAUCAUGACAUUAUCAAUGAAGUUUCAAUCAAUGUAAUUCAACAAUUAUAAUCAUAUAACGAUACCUACAAAGCAUGGUGUAAGCCUAGAACUACCCGAACAUAACAGACAUAGUAUCACGUACGGACUCUCGGCACUUCGUGCGUACAUUGCCUCCACAAUUAAAUCAAAUAUUGAUUAAUUUCACCAAUGGUGAAAUUUUCCCUCUUACAAGGUUAGAAAAGAGACAUACCUCAUUUCGAGCCUACUUCCAACUCAAGAAUGCGCUAAAACCAUCAAACCGGAGCCGCACAAUCCAAAUAUUCAAAUAGUGCAAAAACCAAUCAUUAUAGGCUUACAAGUCCAUAUUGUAGUUUUAAAGUGAUUAUUCAACCCCAAAGGAAAGAUUCCUAAAAUUCACACUCAGACCUAUGUGCCCGAAUUCUGGAAAUGUUUAAGACAAUUUUUAUCCAUAACCUAAAGAUCAAGAAUAUAUGAUUUUUCUUCAUUCCAUAACGAAUUUCGUGGUUAAAUCUUGUUUUUUAUCAAUACUCUAGGUUUUACCAUAAUCCCAUAAUUUUCACUAAACUUUGAGUGUUAAUCUACCCAAAAAUAAAGUAUUAAACUCGCAUUAAGUAGAAAUAACUUACAUCAAAGUGCUAGGUGAAAGCCCACUUCCAAAAGCUCUGAAAAUUGCCUAAGUGUAGAAGUGAAAAGAAAUAAAUGGCCUAAGUUCCAAACCAAAUUUAUAGAACUUCUAAAUCCUUAUGGAAUCAACUUUCACUAUUAGACGCCAAUAUGCUCCCGGAUCAUCCAAACCCCGAUCUGGACAUACGCCCAAGUUUGAAAUCAUCAUACAAACUUUUUGGAACCAUUAAAUCUUGAUUCUGAGGUUGUUUAUUCAAAAUGUUAACCGAAGUCAAACUUGGAUUUCUAAGCCAACCUUAAGGAACCGAGUGCUCGGAUUCAGCCCAAACUCUUCCAAAUCCCGAACUAACCAUCCCCGCAAUUUAUAAAUCAGUUAAAGUUAGUACGUGAAGUCUUAUUUAGGGGAACAUGGUUCUAGAAAGAAAAAUGACCAGCCAGGUCAUUACCGGGAGGCUUGUAAUCAUGGUAAGUUUUCUCUUCUAAAUUAAUAAUUUUUUAUUUUCGCCUUGCACUGUUGAAUUUUUAUCAUCUUUGUUUUCUUUUGUAGGUCUCCCUAAAUAUGUUUCUGUGAGAUCACCAUCCGGCGAUAAGGCUGUGCCCCUCUAGUCCCUGUCCGAUGCAGGGUGAUGAAAAGAAGAGAAAAAGGCUCUCAAGUUCCCCGAACUCGAAAAUGAAAAAACCAAAGAGGAGGUCACGCAAGCCCAAGGGGAGCUUCGGCACCCUACCCUUGGACUUAGUCCAAUUGUAAAGGAAUGAGUCCGAAAAAGAAGAAGAAGAAGAAGAAUAUAAAUCCAAGAUGAUGGCUCGUGUACGGGCUGGUGUUACGAUACAAGAGGAUCUCGAACCGGGGGGUGCUAAAGUUGAAUCUUCUCAACAUGAUGAGGUCGAUGAGAGAGCUCUGGCUAAAACUCCCAAACCAGAAGGGGGUAAGUCCACUCCGUCCUAAACUAGGGGGUUGAGAGAGAGACCAUGGCUGACACUCCUAAAGUAGAGAAAAGUUCCUUGAAAGACAUGUUCAGGGUGAUUGACAUUAACGGGUCUCCUCAGUACUCAGAUUCCAUGAUCCAUAAGGCCGGUAUGUUUUAAGGUCGUUCAUAUGAGGGGGCAACAAAUAUCUAUACCUUCUUGCACAAGUUAGAGUCUACUACUUUAGAGGAUUUAACUAGGAUUGGAGACUUUCCGGUGCCAAAGAAGGUGCUAUCGUCGGGAGCCAACAUGUAUUCCUCGAGCCCAACGUUAGCAGAUCGAUUCCUGGCCCCGAGCAUUGACCCUGACCGAAGGCGGUCAAUAGUUAUUUUUAUAUUGGAGGAUGCCCAUGUUUUUUUUGCCCCCGUUGGGGUUGCUAGCUACUUUCGGUGUUUGGUGACCGAAAAAAAUCACGCAGUGAUGGACAUGAUGGGAACGUGUUGCCUCUUUAAUGAAGAUCAACAAGCAUUUAAUCGGGUAACUUUGAAUGCCUAUCUUAUUAUGUAUUUUAAAUUUAAUAGCUUAUAUGGUACACCAAAAAAUGGAUUACUUGGUCCUCCAUGAGAUUGAUACAUUGAAAGCAGUAAAGACUGAAUGUAAAGGAUGCCAUAGGUUUUCUACAUGGGAAAAUCGCACACAAAGGGAUAAAAAAACCAUGAUCUACUCCUGUAUGCUUUUAACUCAACUAACUUGUAAUCUACCUAUUACAAGCCACUUUGCAAUACUACCAAUUGCAAAGACAUCAAACUAACUUGUUACAGAGAAUUUAACUUAUGACAAUUCCUAGUCACAAUGCAAAUUCCAAAGUUUACAGAUUUGGUUUGUUCCUAAAAUAAUGCUUCUAGGAAAGCAAAAUAGGAAUUACAAUGUAUAACAAUUAAUAAGAUUACAACUCAAUUAUGGAUGUACGUAAGACUUCAUUUAGAAACUUAGCCUUAGUGGACUUAUCUUCUUGUUCUUGACACACCAGUGAUUUCAAUGCCGGAUGAAAAAUGCUUCUUCUUCUUAAGAGAAUAUCACUGAAUGCACAAGCACUAGUGUGUCUUGCACCAGGUUGUUUUAUUACAAAAGAUAUCGCCAUAGCUGGUGGUGUGACCUCUCGCUGUACUUAUUCUUUGUGAGAAGUGACUGCUGCACUGUCUGCACAUCCACUUAUGGACAGAUGUGUUGCAGCUGGACUUUGUGCUUCUAUCAGGACAUACCAAUGGACCAGGUCCUGAUACUAUUGGCAAGACAUCACAAUGGAUCAUGUCCUAGUCGUGUUUCUUUUAUGUAACAGUUGCUAGAUGGUCACUUUCGUCUGCUAUAUUCAGGCUGCCCACUUGAUUUGUACUUUGGUCAGAGAGUCCCAAGGGAGCACGUUCCUAUUGUGUUUCUCUUUAUAUUUAUUGGUACAACCACUGACUUGUUCUAUUGUCGCAGAUGUCUAAAGGACCAACACAUCGGGUUCAUAUUGUGUUCCGCGUUGUGUUCCUACCUAAGGUGGCCUUUGAAUAGUUUACAUGGACUAUGUAUCUUGUGGGACAUGGUUCUCUAUCUGGUUCUUAACAACAAGUUUGUUAGAUCAUCCAAACAUAGGAAGCAAAAAGAUCAGUUAUUGAAAGCCCAAAAAAUUCCCCCAUUUUUAUGAUGACAAACUUAGGCAUGAUGAGCAUUUGUUCUAAUUAGAAUUAACAGUUAACUAGAUGAGAAAUAGAUCAGAAUGAGAGCAGCAGUUCUCCCUAAAUCUUAGACCCCUUUAAGCUAUCACCAUGACCCAGCCCUGUGAUCUCAACACAUACCCCUUGUGAUCUCAACACAUAUCCAAUUGCCAAUACACAAUCAAUAUAUAUUUCCCCCAUUUUGGCAUCAAUAAAAAUAGCAAAAGAGCACAUGUAGGUAAUGAAGCAUAAAAGGUUUGACACUUCAGGUUCAUGCCACAUAUGUGCACACACACAAUAUGACAAAAAAGAGAAUCCCAAGGAACAUGGUAUUGUAGAAGUAGCGAAAGGGAAGCUGUUUUAUUUAUGUUUGCAUUGGACUGAGUAAAUCAGGAGCAGUACUGGCUAAGAUCAACAUGCCAUCAUACCAAACAAAAGAAAAAGUAAAGCACCCACCACAAAGCAUUGAAUCAAAAGAAACUUGACACUAUGAAUAUCCUAGGAAAUACUAGAGGAAUGAGUCGUAGAGGAAGAGGCGACAAUAUUUUUGAGAACCAGGUCUACUCUAGCAUUUGUAGUUAGUUGUUCUUCAAGUAAUUGAGCCCUUAGUUUCUCAUUUUCCUUUCUUAGUCGGAUGGCUUCCUCAUGUACAAAAUCAGGUCCCUUAACUGCUUAGCAGAGCUGAGUUUCCAAUAUGGCAUUUCGAUACCUCAAUUCCUCAGAAGCUACUUUGAAGCAUUUAUCAGAUGAGAUAUGGUCGAGAGGCUCCCACAACGCUUUUUAUACAUUCACAUUCCUCUCGAGUGGUCUUUGAGAAUUACUGUUUGCACGUGCACACUCUGGGAUUUCCUAAGGGGACCUUGUAGAGUUUGAACACUUGAGUCACGAGGAAGCCAUACGGUAACCCGAGAUUUCCCCUAUGAAAUUUGCCACUUUCUGCAUGUGAUCAAUCAUGAUGGCAGGAAAAUUAAUUGGUACAUACUCGUCAAGUGCUUCCAUUAGGACCAUGUCCUAUAUUGUAGCAAUGGAGCGCCUCUCAAAGCGGGGUAAAAGUACUUUAUUGACCAACUCAAAGAGAAACUGGUACUCACGAAGCAGCACCUUCUUAUGCACAUGUUCCCCCUGCUGAAUAGCUUGUUCUUUCAUAAUGGCUCUCAGAAAGAUUACUCCACAGACACCCUUAACUGAGUUCAUUCCUUCACAAGGGAUUUUGAGAACCUUGCUCAAUGUUGAAGCAUCUAGCACAAUGUCAAUUCCAUUUAUGAGAGAACAUAUGUGGUCCCCCUCAAUAGUGAAAAGAGAAGCGUAGAAAACGUAUAUUGCGUCUUCGUACACUAGAGGCAUUCUUUCUUCAAACAAGUAGUCCCAUUGGUGAAACUCCACAAUCUCCAUAAUUUGACGCAUCCCUGUCAUUUCCAAAAUAGCUUCAUCAAAUGUGCGUCCCCAUAACACUUUUUGAGUUCUUAGUCUAUGUUGCCAGAGACCACUGUCAGUGGCCAUGGACCUUAAUGGACCAGGUUCCUUCAUAGUUUCCUCCUUUAUUUUGCUACUACCUUCAUCAGUCUUCCCUUUCCAGCUUGCCAUCCCUAAAGUAUUGUCUUCAGACAUAGUUGGCUCAGUCUUACUUUGUUUCGACCGGCUCCUAUACUUUCCAAAUGGCUUUUUUUGUGUCUCAAAAGUUUUAGCGACUCCCUUUUCCAUGGACUGUUGAGUUGUCAUAGAUUAUUGUACUGAAUAACCGGGUUCUUUUGAAGCAUGUUUAUCUACUUGGUUUACCGUCCCACUCUUGAUGAAUUCAUUCUUCUCAUUUUUCUUGUCUUGAAACUCCUUUUACUUUUCUGAAAUGAAGAUUCAGAGCUAUUUUGUUGUAGUAACCUGAUAGUGAGGGAUUUUGAGGAAGACCCUAAAAUUUUAGAGGGAAUGUGAUACAGAAGUGGGUUCGCAUGGAUAAGGAACGAGUUCAUCAGAAGGCUUUUCUAGGAACAUCUCAUGAGUCAGAGACUGUAGGAGUUCUGUAGUUCUCUGCAUUUUCUAGACGAGAGAUCUCUUCCCUCUGAUACUCAUAAGAGAAAUAAACUUCUUCAUUUGUUAGACUUUCAACAGCUAUGGCCAUGGUGUUGUGAGCUGCUUCUUUUUAGGUGACUCCUUGAGAGUCACUAUGUCCAGCAUAUAGGAGUUUAUGUAUUGGUCAGGAUCAUCCUCAUGCGCUUCUGAAACCACAAAAGUGAAAACUUCUGUAUGUUCUUUGGAGAGGUCAUAGGAUUGAUUGGACAUAGGGUUCUCAAAAUAGUGGUGAGAAGCUUUUAGCAGAAAUGGAAAUACAGUAGGAGAGGAGAAGAGACCAGAAGUGUAUUGAGUGGUAGAGUGCACGAGACAGUGAUGACUUGAACUAGAUAUUAAGGAAAGAUAUGAAUUAGGGACGGUGCGAGAAGUGGUAGACUAAGACGAUUGUUUGAUCGCCAUUUGAUGAAUACUUUCCAGACAGGUAGCUUAGAGAGAGUGAGAAAUGAAGAGUGAGUCCUAGAUGAACAACGAAAGAGAAGGUUCAUGACUUGUCGUAGAAGGGACGAAAAGAUUUAUUGGAAGAUGGGUUAAUGAUGAGUGAAGAAAGAAUAAGGUUUUGAAUAAUCCUAGAGAUGGCGGUGGUUUUGUAGGGAAAUGGCGUCGUACAGAGGAGGUGAAUGAUUUGAGGGACAAGACAUGACACAUAGACCUUGGAAGGUCUGAAUUACAGGAUAUUUAUUACACACUUUUUGUUUAGAGAGGGAAUGCAAAAAUUAACCUUAUUACUACUAACCUGAGAUACGAGAACCUGAUGCCAGAGCAAUCUUUUUUAAUAAAAUUCCAACACCUCUCCCUUUUUGCAGCUUAUAACGUACUUUUAGCUUUAGCUUCUCUAAUCGCCAUGCGUGUUUACCUACAAUGGUAUUAAUGUGAGUCAAGCUUAGUCAGAAAAACUUUAGCUGCCUUUACUUGGAGGUGUUCUUACGCAACUACCAGAAGGGGAAUCAGGUUUUUCAUUAGAUUCUUGACCCCAUCUUUGUCUUGAUUCAUCAGAGAUAUUCUCAACUUGAGGCAUUGAUGCAGAUAUCUGGAGUGGUCUCUUGUUUUGUAAGGCUUUCCCCAAGGUAAUUCCUUUUUCAUGUUGACCCUUAAAAGAGAGUCUUACCCCUCAGUGUGUUUGCCAUUUCUCUCCAGUUGUUGAUGAGUCCAUGAAACUUCCCAGGUGCAUGUUGGUUUAUCAAUUUGAGAUAGAAGUUGGUUGAAGAGGGAAAAAUGAGGGUGAAUUUGAUUUCCCUGAUCUUUGUGUUCUGCUGCUGGAGUAGUAACAUGAGUUGCAUUUCUUCUUCCUUUAGCUUCAGCGUUAACCAGUAGCGUAUCUGAGUCUUUAUAAUAGUGCAUUGUAUUUCACUAGUCUUCUACACCUUGCUCAUUUUGUUAUCUUCCUAAUUUUGAAGCCUCAGGUAUUUCCCGGAGAUAGGAUUGGUUCAUCACUUUAAUCCUCAUAAUAUCUUUCGUGAUAGAGGGAAAUGACAUGUGGAAAAUUCAAUGAGCAUCUCCUGCCAUUUAGAGCGUUCUCAAUUGGAGACCUUUUUGACCUUGUUUUGUCGGUUGUUUCUCAGGAGCAUUCCUUCUCUCAUCUGUUUGCAUUGUGCUUCCCAAGCUGAUCCUUCCUGUUUUUUCAGGAGCAAGGCAUUUUCUUUUAUUUACUGAGAGUGUACCCUUUACUUUAUUCUCAAGGAUACAUUCCCUUCUUGCAGGGCUUUCAGUGAGAAGUAUUUUAUGAAGUUUUCGGCUGCAUGCUUUUAGGCAUUUACUGUCCAUAGUCCAUCACGUUCUGUUUCCUCUCACAGCUCCUUGCACAUACACAUAAAGGAUAGAUUUAGGAACCCGAGCUAGUUUGGGUCCCUUGUUACUAUCGAAUGGAUGAAUGAAGGGUUUUCUGGUCCAUGGAGGCAACAUCCGCAUUUUGCAAGUGGUACUUGGUCCUGUGCUAGUAGUCACUCUAUUCAUAAAUGCUUUGUUCUUAUGAGCAGACUAAACCCUGGCCUAGCAAUUUUUUUUAAAAUGCCCAUUGUUUUUAUAUUGGGCACAUCGCCAGUUGUCAGGUACAGUGACAUACUUGCCAUGUGGGUUAUAGGGAGUUUUCUACCUUUUGAACCCAAUGCCCUGCUUGUUCCCACUAUUGUUGAGAUACAUGGAAGUAACAGUAUCUGAGGACAAGUUCCACUUCAAGGAUUUCUGAAAAUCAGUUUUUACUUUCUCCAACUCAACUUGGAGUUGCUGAUUCCGCUUAAGUUCUUUGCAAAAACUAGUUUUUACGACAUUUAAUUCCUUUUCCAGCAAGAUCUGUGACUCACUGCUACUCCCUUCCCUUUCCCAAGAUAUAUACUCCUAUGUUCUCUAUUAGGUCCCUCAUUGGUUUCUUCUAGAUCAGCACAUUUCACUAGAAGGUCAUGCCUUUCCUCUUCAAUAGAGGCUAUCUUUUCUUCUAAAGUGUGUAUCUUACUGCAAAGACCUUCUAUGGUUUCUUUGAGACUGAAAACUACUACCAUCAAAUCGUCUCUCUCAUUCUCCAGUUCAAGAUUGGCUAUGGUCUCAUUUAAGUCCAGCACACAGACCACUAGAUUAUCUCUAGAUUGUUCGGCCUCUCCAAGCUUUGUGGUCAGGAUCUCUUUGUAAUUUACAAGACUAUAAUAAACUUCAAUUGAGAAAUUUGAUAAAGACCUUAGUUAUUUAGAAGAGUAGGAUCUCAGAUUUCUCUGAUCAUCCCUGAAGUUUAACUCAUCGCCUUCAUCUUCUUCUUCAUCAUCAUCUGACAGAGCCAUCAAUGCGAAUAGUGAAUCGUACUUUGUUGCUUCAGUUUUCACUGCCAUGAUGGAACUGUUUUCUGCAUCUGAUUCCCUUUCGGAUUCACUUGAGGAAUAUGCCCAACCGGCCAGAGCCUGCUUAACGAUAUUGUCUGCAACACUUUUUCGAUUGAAUACUUUAUCUGGAACCAUGUUCUUUUUCCCUACCUUGUUAGGAUCUUGUACUGCUCCUGUUUUGCGAGUGGGCAAUCUUUGAUGAAAUCCCUUGGCUUUCCAUAUCCAUGACAGAUAUCAGUGCUCCUUUUCUUUCUUGAACUGGCCCACUUUGGUAUACCACCAUCUCUUCGAACAAUCUUUUGAAAUCUCUUAGUGAGAUAGUCCAUUCACUAUCUUCAUCACUUGAAUGACUCUUUACAGCUUUAAGAACCCGUUCUUCUCCUUCUUAUGCUCUCUUCUUUCAUUGUCCUUCUUUCUCUUAUCUUGUACGUUUUUAGAUUACCAAUCAACUCAUUCAUGGUUAGAGUAUGUAGAUCUUUAGCUUCUGUGAUGGCAUUCACCUCACUUUACCAAGACUCGGGUAGAACAAUGAAAUUUUUCUGACAAGCUUUUUUCUUAGAAUGCCAUCUCCAAGAGAGUGAAGCUCAUUUAUGAUGGAGGUGAACCUGGUAUGCAUGUCUUGUAUGGAUUCAUCAUCCUUCAUCCUGAAGAGCUCAUACUCUGUGGUGAGCAUGGCAAUUUUGGAUUGCUUGACUUGGGUGGUUCCUUCAUGAGAGGUUUGCAAUGCCUCCAAUAUUUCUUUGGCAGUUUCACAAGCUGAGACUCUGUUGUACUCAUCAUGUCCUAUACCACACAUCAAGAUUUCUUGGCAUGUUAGUUCUUUUCUACAGCUCUUCUGUCAACGUCAUUGUACUCUCUUCUUCCUUUGGGCACCAAUGGUCCUAUUUCUUCAAGUUUUUUCAUGGGAACAUGCGUACCAUAACAAAUGAUGCCCCACAGCUCUGAAUCUUCAGCCAUUAUGAAAUCAUGCAUCCGGGUCUUCCACCAGCCAUAGUAUUGACCACUAAAUCUGGGAGGUCUAUAGAUUGAUUAUCCUUCUUCAAAGCUUGGUGGAGAGGCCAUUGGGGGUUUCUCCCAGGUGCUAGCCUGAUAGGAGAAACCUGCUAUGAUACCAAAUGAUAGCUUAUAUGGGUCCACCAAACAAUAGAGUGUCUGGUCCUCUAUGAGACUGAUACGUCGAAAGCAGUAAAGACUGAAUGUAAUGGAGGCUGGAGGUUUUCUACGUGGAAAACUCCCACACAGUGGGAUAAAAAGAGCAUGACCUACUCUCGUAGGAUUUUAACUCAACUAACUUGUAACAUACAUAUUACAAGCCACUUUGCAAUACUACCGAUUAUAGAGACUUCAAAUUAACUUGUGAUACAACCACCACAAGCCACUUUCUAACUCUCCUAGUUACAGAGGAUUCAACUUAUGACUAUUCCUAGUCACAACACAAACUCCAAAGUUUAUGGAUUUGGUUUAUUCCUAAAACAAUACUUCUAGGAAAGCAAAAUAGGAAUUACAAUGUAGAACAAUUAUGGAUGUACAUAAGACUUCGCUUAGAAAUUGAUCCUUAAUGGAGUUUCUUUUUGUUCUUGACCCACACCAGCGAUUUCAAUGCCGGAUGAAGAAUGCUUCUUCUUCUUAAGAGAAUAUCACUGAAUGCACAAGCACUAGUGUGUCUUGUACCGGGUUAUUUUAUUACAAAAGAUAUCACCAUAGAUGGUGGUGUCAACUCUUGGUGUACUUCUUCUCAGUGAGACGUGACUGCUGCACUGUCUGCACAACCACUUCUGGAUAGAUACGUUCCAACUGGACUUUGUGCUUCUGUCAGGACAUACCAAUGGACCAGGUCCUGAUAGUAUUGGCAUGACAUCCACAAUGGACCAGGUCCUAGUUGUGUUUCUCUUCUGUAACAGUUGCCAGAUAGUCACUUUCGUCUGAUGCAUUCUAGCUAUCCACUUGACUUGUACUUUGAUCAGAGAGUCCCAAGUGAGUAAGUUCCUAUUGUGUUUCUCUUUAUAUUAAUUGCGUACCGCCACUGACUUGUUAUUUAGUCGGAGAAGUCUAAAGGACCAACAGAUCGGGUUCCUAUUGUGUUCCUACCUAAGAUAUCCUUUGAAUAGUUUACAUGACCUUUGUAUCCUGUGGGACAAGAUGUUCUAUCUAGAUCUUAAUAACUAGUUUGUUAGAUCAUCAAAACAUAGGAAGUAUAAGGCUCAGUUAUUGAAAUCCCAACAAAAUUUAAUGUUGUAAAUAACCAUAACACCUUCAUUUACGUUUGCAAGUUUUUGUGCUGCACUAUGAGUCUUUCCUUCGAUACCGGGAGGAACUAACUCAUCACGAUCCCGAGGUUGGGAUCUCAGUGAGAAGAGAAACACCUACAAUAUUCUCAAUAAGAAGCUUCAGACCGAGUUAGAAAUGGCUCAGAGGGAGUAUACCUAAAUGGCCGAGCAUGUAAUUUGAGUACUUAGUGAUAGUGAAGACGAAAUGGACAUAGUGGCUAACGAUCCGAUCCGACAGGUUUGACAAAAGCUUAAACAGAUCGGGUAGCUCGAGGAACAAGUAGAUACGAUACAAGCCGAGGUUGAGUAGUUCAAGAAAAAUAUGGAUAUCUUAGCCUCGAAAAAGGAGGUUGUCCAAGCUUAAGUGGAGUCGGUCGAGUCCUAGCUCUAGGCUGAAAAAAAGAAGACCUCAGUACAUAUCAAUAAAAUCAAUGAGCUUCAAUACCAAUUGGACUUUGCUAUAUGUAAAAAAAGAAUUUUUCCAAGGAAAUCGAGGUGGCCAAAUCAGAUGUAGUUGUGUCCAUGACCAAGCCUGGUGCUAAAGUGUCUUUGUACAAGGCAGACACUGAGGCUAUUCAUGCGUAGGUUAAAAUUAUGGUAGAGACUGCAAGGUGGAAUGCUCGAAGGGAAGCCUCAAGGGGGUCCAUGCUUAGAACUUUGAUAUACUGGCUGAAAUCGAGAAUGCUAAAGCAGAAGAAACCAGGGCCCAAAAAUUGUCUUUUCUCGAGGAAGAUUCCGAGAGUUUAAGCGAGUCUGAAGGUAGGGAAGAUCCUGAGGAUGAAGAUGCUGCCUGCGAUGAAGAACAGGCCACUUAGGACUUUAUAUGUUUUUAUGUUUUCUUUUUUUUUUUUUGCAUCUUUUUGAGGUCGUUUCAGUCAUUGUAGGUUUUUACAUUAGUCCGUUCUACCCUUUUUAAAUAAUUAAUGGGUAUAUAUAUAAGGCUUCUUUUUCCAUUUAUGAUUUCAGAUUGUUUCUUUGUGUCAUUACUUGUAUUCACAAAUGCCGAAAUGCCUUAGUAUAAAAUAACUUAGGUUUUGAAAGUUCGAAGAAACCCUGCCUUUACAUUAUUUUAUUUUGAGGCGUCUUGGGGAUUAAAUGUUACCGGGAGCUUUCUCCCAAAGUAAGUAACUCAGAUUUUCCGAGGGUAGCCUUUAGAACCAGUAACGAAAAAUUUAUUUUUGAAGGCUUAUAUUUUGUUACGGUUCUCAAACGUCUCCUAGCCAUGUUAAUAUGGCCGUAGCCUUUUAGUUUGGGCAUAAACUCGUGGUCUUGAUAUCCCGAGUUAUCCAGGCUUGCCAAAGAUAAAUGUCUCCGAGUGGGUAUGACCGUGACUUUUAAAAUUUGGGGGUUUCCUAAGAGGUCUUAUGCCCCUAGUGUUUAAUAGCUUAAUCCGUUCGAUUUUGUUUUCGGACGGUAGUCCCUGAGUUAAGGAGUGAUCAUCUGAACUCUGGUUAUAAUCGGCCCUUGAGAUCAUUUCCUUAGGAGAUCAAAAGUACAAAAUUCUUUAAGGGAUGUAAAGAGAAAAUUUUUAGAACAUAAGAUGAUUGCAAGGAAAGUACUUCUCUUUAUUCUUGAGAAAAGUAGUUAUACAUGCGUACAUGUCAUAUGCCAGGGCUCGGGAAAUCUAUGUGGGCACGGUUCAUUUCAGUGUUUGGCCCUUACAACAAAUCCUACCUAUUGAGACUAUUCCACUACAAAAUAAUUUCCUCGCUAAUGUCAAUAUCUGAGGGAGAUGCCCCCCAGUAUUUGAGGUUGAUUGUAGAGAAACCUCGGAUAUUGUAAAUGUAAUCUUCGACAUCAGGUCACAAUCGGCCUUUGAUUCUAAGUUAGCAUUAUCCACUGUUGCCUUGUUACAAAGUUAGCAUGAUCCACUAUUGCCUUAUUAAAAACCUUGCCGAAAAACCCAUUUGGGACAAAAUCGGUCUAAGAAAAAAAAAA
rnacentral:lncRNA from 1 species